UCAUUAACUUAAUUACAAUGUUUCCAAUCAUAGAUCAACAAAAUAAAGUUGCGACUCAAACCUCUAAUCUAACAAAGUUAACCAACUAAGCGAAGGUUAACCCUGGUUUUAUAAAAGCGAACUAAGCAGAUGCAGUGUUAAUGUCAAAUCUAAUUUACACCAUGCAGUUACAUCAACUAAGCAAAGAUGUAACACCAACUGGGCAACUAAGCGUAUACCCAAUUGCAAGUGCAAAUACAAAUUUCACAUUAACCAAGGUCAGAGUAGCAAUUACAAUUAUAGUUCAUAAAUCUCAAGGAAACAUUAUAAUAUCGCUAAUGACCAACUCAACUAAUUUAAUCUAUCAUGACAAUUAAAGUAAGACGACUAAACACAUUAGACAACAUUAAAGCAAAUUAAAAUUCUAAAUACCAACACUGUUACAAUCAACUAUCUAAAACAGUUAAAUUAAUUUAAAUGCAAAACUAAAUUAUAGAAAUCAAAAGCAACUAAUCCUACAAUGUAAACUAAUUCAAAACAAAGGAAUAAUCAAACAUGCUUUUUCCCUACACAUUGACGUGACCCAAUUCACUAACCAAAUGAAUUUUAAAAUGUAAAUAGCCAAGGAGAACCUCUUGGCCGUGAGGUUGCAACACAAACUUCAAUUUGACUUUCUUCCUUCAAUAAAAAAUUCAUUAUGUUGUCUUUUUGUCCCAUGUGCUUCAUUCUCCAAGAAAAGACAUGUGCUACCUAUGCUAUCAUGAAAACCGUGCCCUCUCUCUCCAUGAAGCUAGGAGUGAACGGUUUUCAACCUCUUAAGGCCAAAUUGCCGAGCCACACUCUCCUCACUUGUUGCAAAUUUUUCUUCCCACACUCCAUAAGUCAAAAAGGUGAUGAAAUUGCUUCUACCAAUGUGCCACAUAAGCAAAGUCAAAGGGAAUAAACAACACAAGACAUUCUCUUCCUCAUUGCAAUUCACGGCCAAAUGCUAGUGAUGAGUCGAUAUUUUCUUGACUUCACUUAGUUUAUUGUGCUAUAACUAAUCAGGGAAUUGUGCUUAUAUGUUUAGUAUUUUCCCGUUUUUGCUAAUUGUGCCUAAUUUGACCGGAAAUUCUAAUUUUAAUUAAUUUGAAUAUUCUGACCUAAUUAUUUUCAUUAUUUAUUGCAGGAAAACAUUGGAGAUAUAUUUUGGAACAUUAGGAAGGAGGCAAAUAAAUUAAAGACUCUAUAAUUAGGCAUUUCAAAUUUUAAUUACAUUGUAAAUUAAUAGUUUAGAAAGUUUUCAUUAAACUUGUGCACAUUGGGCCAUUGCUGGCAAAAUUCAUGAUAGGCCCAAGGUUGUAGGACACAUGGCAUCUAAGGUUUUCAUUUUUUUGGUGGACCACACCCAUCCUUAAAAGAGGACACAUGGCCCUAGGGAUUGGGAGAGCUAGGAGCCGUCACUUUUCCUUGCAUUGGCUGCUGCAACGUUUUUUUGGGAGAGCUUACUGACUGUAACGUUUUUUUCCCUUGGCUUUAAAACCAUCUCUUGGCAUUUUGAUGAUGGAUGAAUAAAAAAAGGGGUGAAACAUUUUCUUUCUAUUUUAUUUGGAGAAUUCAAUUUAUUGCUUUGAUAAUGCGGCACACGUGACAGAUAUGGUUUUCGGGAAGCACACUCUAUUUCAUUUCUAGUUGGCCAUUUCAUUUCUACAGUAGGGGAUUUGCUAGCUUUCUUGAAUUUCAUUUCAUGAAUUGAAAAUAUAUUAGGUGGGAUAGAGGUGAUGUGACGUGUUGGUAGCUGAUUGUUGGGUAAUUUAUUCUCUUUUAUUCCCUUUUGGAAUGAAGAGUGAUUAGAUGGUAAGAAGUUGGUAGGUGCACGGUGAUUGAGUGCUGAUGGAAAGGGGUCACGGUUCCAAAAUUUUCUCUUUCAUGCAAAUGAGAUGUUUUGGCUUCAAUUGAAGAGUAGAUAGGUAGCAGGUUUUGUGUAGCAAUUUAUUGUUUUUUUAUUUAGUUGGAAAUGAAGAAGUAGAUUAGAUAUGAGUUGAUGUAGGUGUACGGUGCUAGGAUUUAUCCUGGAAGCACAUUUAAUUCCUUUGAAGAAAUUGAAUAGUCAAGCUAGAGAAGGUGUUGGAUGGUGCACUGCCACGGGAUGAUUGAUUGAAGCUGGAUCUGUCACGUGAUUUCAUGGGAGGAAGAAAGGCACGACCUUGAUGCACACGACCUUGAUGUAGAGAAAAGUUUUCACUUUUAUUUCAUUUAGAAAGUAUACUUGUCCAUCACGAAAAGAAGCUGCCACGUCUAGCACUUUUGGAGAGGAAUUUUUUAUUUUUAGUAGGAGGUUGGCAUGAAGAAGCAUGUUGAUUUAGUGAAGAAAAUAGCACACAGUUUCCAUCAAGUUUGCUUUAAUCUUUUUCUUUAUUCAUGCUGGACCGAGAAGAAGAAUUCACUUUCUUCGUUUUAUUGUUUUACUCUUGGCGUUUCUUUUUGGUGUUGAUUCCAUGAUAAAUGUGCAUUUCAUUUUUAGUUUAAGCAUUGCAUGUUAAUAGUCUUAAUUGCAUUUGGAUAUUUAUCUUUUGCAUUGUUCAGUUUACUUUUUCAGUUCACUAUGUUGUCUAUUAUGUUCAGUUUAUUGUUUCCAUUCACCAUGAUGUCUGUUCUGUUCGAUUGUGUUGAUUUAAUUGCGAUGUGAGUUUAGGCUAGGCGAGUUGGUCAUUAGCUAUAUUGUGAUGUUUCCUUGAGAUUUCUGGAUGGUAUGUGUAAAUGCCACUCGGACUUGGUUAAUAUCAAAUCUGUAUUUGCACUUGCAAUCAGGUAUACGCUUAGUUGCCCAGUUGGUGUUGAGUCUUCUCUUAGUUGAUGAAACUGCAAGGUGUAAAUUAGAUUUAAUGUUAACAUUGCGUCCACUUAGUCCGCUUUUAUGAAAACAUAAUUAGCCUGCGCUUAGUUGAUUAAUUGUGUUGGAUUAGAGGUUUGAGUUGCUUUAUUUUGUUGAUCUGUGAUAGGAGCAUUGUAAUUAAGUUAAUUACCAACCGUUUUCAGUCUGUCUUUGAAACCGUUUUUAGAUCUCUGUUUGCAUUUUUGUUUGCAUCUGUAUUUUCACAAAACCCCCCCACUUCGUAAUUGACUUAAUUCUCGAACCGCAAAAUUGGUCCUUGAGAGACGACCUAGGAGUCAUUUCUUAGCUAUACUGCAUUUCUAGUUGCACAUCAAAUUUGUGUGGGUUGCGACAGCCCAUCACUAGCAAAAGGAAAAUACCAAAAUGGAAACAUUCUUUCUAUGAAAAUGAGCGUCUCAUGUGCUUGCCCAAAUAAGCUAAAAAUUAAAUGCACCAUUCUCUCUCCCUUCCAACCUCAUUCUCGGUUUUCGCCACCAACAAAAACAUUCAAAUGUUUUCUUCACCUAUCAUCACGUGAAUGCACCUAGUAAAACAAGUUUCCACACUCAAAGAUAUAAAACAACAAUAAAGCCAACCAUCCACUUCUUCCAAACGGAUCAAACACUCACUUUUCUUCAAACUUUUCAGAAAAACAAAAUGGAAUCCCUAUCUCCCUUUGCAGCACCGUCCAGCCCUCAUCAAGAAUUACAAUGUUCCAUCUCAUAAAUUACUUACAUUAAUCAAAGUGAAACACAAGAAGAAAAAGGGUUCAAGCUUCCAACAACCAUCAAUAACCUCAAGUUUUCUUCACUUCAAUGCUCAAUGUAAAAUACCUCUUCUCCAUUCAACAAAGAAACUUAAACAUAAACAUCCAAAGUGCAGCAAAAAGGAAACAAAAAUGCAAAGUGAGUCUUCAUUCAACCAAAGGAACCACAAUGAAAAUGCAAAGAACCACCUCCAAGCUCAAGCUUUCAACAUUCAAAUGGAAAACGCAAGAAGAGGAGUGAUAGAUCUCCCUUCCAUUAAGCAAGAAUAAGUAAAGUUGCAAGCAAGAGAAGAAGAAAAACGUGAUCUUGGUCAUUCCAUAGCUCAAGAAACCGUAGCACCCAUCAUGGUCUCCAACAGAGAGUUCAUACAUGCAAAGUAAAAUGAAAAGUGGAGACAAGAAGUGUGUGUUGGCCUCCCUCACCAAAAUGCCAAGAAUUCCUCUAAAAUGGUGGGGUCCACCUCUAAAAGAAACCCUAGGGUUUUUUCCAAGUGUCCCAUAACAUUGGGCUUCUACAAUUUUUGCCACUAAAAGGGCCCAAUGCACAAAAUCCUAAUUAAAGUUCCUAAACAACUAAGUUACAAUUUAAUUAAAAUUGAAAUGACUAAUUGUAGAUUUUUUAAUGACCACGCCACCUCCUAAUGCUCCAAAAAAUAUCUCCAAAAUUUCCCUGCAACUAAAAAUACAAUUAAUCAGCUCAGAAAAUUCAAAUUAGCGAAAAUACAAAUUUCCGAUCAAAUUCAGCAGAAUUAGGAAAAACAGGAAAAUAACGGACAAUUAAACACAAUUCCCUGAUUUAUUUAAGUGCAAUAAACUAAAUACAGUCAAGAAAAUGUCAACUCAUCACGACCCAUUUUGCUGCUGAGCGGUUGCGGCGCAACCUGUCUCGGCUUUGAUAAAAGCUGAGCGGUUUUUAGGUUUUUCAUUCCAAAACCUCUUCUUUGCAUUUCGCCUGAGCGUUCUCCCUAAGCCCUAGUGAUGAGUCAAUAUUUUAUUGAUUUCACUUAGUUUAUUGUGUUAGAAUUAAUUAGGGAAUUGUGCUUAAUUGUCUGGUAUUUUCACGUUUUUCCUAAUUAUGCUUAAUUUGAUCGGAAAUUCUUAUUUUAGCUAAUUUGAAUUUUCUGAGCUGAUUAAUUGCAUUUUUAGUUGCAGGGAAAUCUUGGAGAUAUCUUUUGGAGCAUUAGGAUGGAGGCAUGGUCAUUAAAGACUCUACAAUUAGGCAUUUUAUUUUUAAUUAAAUUGUAACUUAGUUAUCUGGAAAACUUUAAUUAAGCUUAUGUGCAAUGGGCCCUUUAGUGACAAAAAUGUAAAGGCCCAAUUUUGUGGGACACAUGGCCUAACUCUAGGGUUUCGUUUUCUUAGGGUGGACCCCAUCCAUCCUUAAAAGAACGACACAUGGUCCUAGGGAUAAAAAGGAAGCAGCCGUCAUUCUCUCUAGGAGAUUGCUGUUGGAAACGUUUAGCUUCUUCUUGAAAACAUGUUUACAUUUUUUGAUUUUGGAUGAAUGAGAAAUAACACAGGACUCUUUCUUUUGUUUUGAAUGGAAGCGAUGAUUUUUAUUUUUAUUUUUGCUGAUUCACCAUUUUAUUUUCUUUAAUCAUUGUUUUACUUUUGAGAUGCACACGGUAAUUCAUUUGUUGGAGAUUAAGCACAUAGUUGAUUCAUCACAACAUUUUGACACUGCUUUUAAUUUCCUUUUGUGCAAGCUACCUUCACUUUUAUUCGUUGCUUUGAUUUUAUUUGGGGGUUUUCUUUGAAUAUUUCAUUAAUGGAGAUUUUGAACGAUUUUAUAUAUGAAAAAUAAUGGUGACGCUACUUUUAUUUUGGUACAACACUUGUGAUUGAAUUGUAUCAUUUUCCUUUGAGUGCAACACGUUACUAUGACUUUUAUUUGCUUGAGAGAAAAAAAUUGUUUUGAUAGCAUUGGAACAAAAGGGUGCAGCACGUUACAACACAUAGCAUUAAUUUCUUUCCUUUUUUUUAUGGGGAUGCAACGCUGAUUGAUGGAGAGCUUUAUUAUUAUUAAUGGGAUUUCUUUUUUUAAUUGUCAUUCAACUUUAAGCUAUGAAGCACGGAGAGGCUGAUUUGAUUUUAGCUGGUGGUGCACUAGGUCACGGCACGUGAUGACUUUUUUUGGAACAGGAGAGGCGCCGGUUUAUUCAGAGAAGUGUGGCAUUCAUUUUCAGAUUUGAAGAAUAGGAGAUGUCACGACCAGGCUGGAUUGGAGGAAGUAGCACGGUGUCACGGCCUACUGUUAAGCCCCUGGCAAGUGUACCAGAUCGUUAUCAAGUAAUAUAAUUGGUAAACCCAAUAUCGUUCUUCCCAAAGGACUCAAAGGCCUAAUCUUUCAUGCAAUGCAGUUGAAUCAAUUGGUUUUGAGAAACUAUGGAUAAAUGGUGUUGUUGGGGUUCACAAUUUCAUCUUAUCCACUCUCAUAUAUCUACUCUUCUUAUUUACUUCACUUAUUUAUCUAAUUGCCAUGCAUACUUUCUUAAUUACCCUUAACCCAAUCCCUUGGUGAAAAGAGCCUAUUACUAAUUACCGACUUGCUAUGCCUAGCCUCCCCUAGUAACCAAUAAUGCAAUGCGAUCGGAAGCAAUUACAAUUGAUCGUCCUACCCCUAUCCCUAGGCGAUAUUGGCAUAAUCAAGGAAUUUCCCACCAGUUCAUGACAUUACCGUACGUCCCCAUAUCGAUAAAGACAAACAUCUUUUACUGAAUGAGUUAAACAAUAAAAUCUUUGAGCACAGAUGAGAACCCAACAAUUGAUAAAUAAGUAUAUGACAAGCAUAUGAAAUAAAUAAGAAUUUGAAUAUAUGAGAGUUUCAAAAGAUUACAUUGUNNNNNNNNNNNNNNNNNNNNNNNNNNNNNNNNNNNNNNNNAUUACAUUGUUCCCCAACAACAAAGGGUUUAGUUCACCAUAAUCAUGGUGAAACUAGAUUAAAAUAAUGAAAGAGUGGAAGAAAUAACCCUAAACUUGGUUGAAUGGAGCCUAAGCAUCCAAGGAACCUCCUCCAAGGUGUGGAAUAGCUCUGGACGUUUCUCUCUGCCAAAAGAAUCACUAUCUAAUUCGCAUUGGGGCUAUAUAUAAGCACAAAAAGAUAACAGAUAGAUUACAUAUAGAUUUAUAGAAUCUAGCUAAAAAAACAGACAACCGCCUAGGCGGCUAAAUUCACCGCUUAGCGGUUUGCCUCUUGCCCUUUGACCGCUCAGCGGCAACCUCUAAUCGUUCUAAGCGCUCAGCGGACCAUUCUGACGCUCAACGGCUUGCUUGACCCUUCUCUUCAUCAUAUUUCUCCUUCUUUCACGGGUCUAAGUCCACCUUACUUUACUUCCAUCUUCAUUUCAUCUAAAAACCCUGCAAAACAAGCAUAAUAUCUCUAAAACCAACUUUUGACUCUCAAAAGACUCAACUAGGUGUUUUACUUGAUUUAAAGCCCAUUCUAAGCCAUAAAGGGUGUGUUUUACUAUCAAAUUUAAGCAUGAAAAUAACGGUUUUUAGACCGUUAUCACAACCCCAAACUUAGAACUUUGGUUGUCCUCAAGCAAACAAAACAAAACUUGGCUUUUCACUUUUUCAUCAAAUAAUUCACACUUUUCAAAACUCUUUUUUUUUUCUCAUGACAAGUUAUCAUACAAUUCAGAUUUCUGUGGAAUCCUACAAAGAUGUAUGCAUGCUUUCAAUCCAAAUUAGUUCACAUAAUUAAUCUUUUUCCAACAGAUGUUUUGUUCAUGAAUGAUCAAUCAACUAAGCAUAGAUGUAAACAAGGAUUUAACAAUUCUCACAAAGCAUGUGUUUCACUCAAUCACUCAAGUGUUUAGGGAGGUCACUCUACUCUCUACUAUUUACAUGUCACAUAAAACAAUAUUGUCAUUCAUCUUAAACAAUCAAAAUCUUCACAUGCAUAUGUCAUCACAAGUACUUUUUCCAAAGCUUGUAUUGUGGCUGGGCUAUCAAGAAAAUUGGUUUUUCUGGAAUACAAAAUCCUUGAGUUAAGAGAGUUUAACUCAUCAUUCAAAGUUCAAGCACACUCUCUUUUUAACCAAUCUCACUCAUUCCCAACUUUUCCCUUUUUAAUUUUAAAUUGAGUUCUUUUUACAUGCAUAACUUCUUUUCUUCUUUUCUUUCCUUUUCACAUGUAUUUUUCUUUUUCAUCUUUUAAAGUCAAUGCUUUUCUUUCUGUUUUGCCUUGCACUUUCCCCAUUCAACCCCAAGCUUGAACCUUUUCAUUACAUAUAAUUAUUCUCAACCCUAACUCAAGGUAAAUCAAUUCAAAAAGGGUAUAUCAUUCAAAAUUCUUUGGGUGAAAAUUUGGCUAAGUAAGGGAUUUCUAAUCAUGGCCUUGAUCAUAUGACAUACACAUGCAAUUCAAUCAAUUAUCAAGAUUAAGUCAAUAUCAUUCAUGAUUCUCUGUAAACAGUGCACACAACAAUAAAACUCUGAAGCUUAAUACCUCACAUAAUCAUGCUUUCUCACUUCUCACUUGAAUCCUGCUUAGCAUCAAAAUCACAAUCAUGAAUCACUUACUCAUCUGUUCACAUUACUGGUCAACCAUAAACCUGGAUAUCAACAUUCAUACAUUCUCAAUCAUCAUCCACAAUCAAUCAUCAAUAGCAAACAACUCAUCAUGCAACAAUAUUGAACCAUUAUCAGAAUAAGUGUACAAGCCAAGCAUAGACUCAAACAUAAAUUCAACCUAUACUACUAAUUCAAAGUGAUAAAACCUGGGUUGCCUCCCAAAAGCGCUUGUUUAACAUCACGAGCCUAACCCAAACCUCAUGGAUCCACCAACAUCAAUACGGUAGAAAACUGUUCCACUUCUCCUGCUAAAUAAUGUUUGAACCUCUGACCAUUUACAACCCAAUUUCUCUCCUUAUCUGUAGUCUCUAAUUCCACAGCUCCAUUCGGAUAUACCUGCUUUAUCACAAAGGGUCUCGACCACUUUGAUUUCAACUUCCCAGGAAAUAACUUUAACCGUGAAUUAAAUAGUAGCACCUGCUGUCCUGGAGUAUAGACUCUCUUUAUUAACUUUUUAUCAUGAUAAAAUUUCACCUUUUCCUUAUAACUCCUUGAUGAAUCAUAUGCAUGUAACCACAUCUCUUCAAGUUCUAACAACUGAUUUCUUCGUUUGCUUUGAAUUUCAUGAGGAUCAAACUUUAAAAAUUUCAAAGCCCACAAAGCCUUAUGUUCUAUCUCUACUGGCAAGUGACAUGCUUUCCCAUAUACCAUCUAAAAAGGUGAUAACCCCAAUGAAGUCUUCAUAGUCGUCCUGUAUGCCCAAAGAGCAUCAUCUAAUUUCCGUGACCAAUCCUUUCAUGAAAAAGAAACUUUCUUUUCUAAUAUCCUCUUAAUCUCCCUAUUAGAAACUUCAGCUUGACCAUUCGUUUGUUGAUGAUAAGGUGCAGCCACUUUAUGCUUUACCCCAUAAUGUCUAAGCACCUUAGCAAGCUGAGCAUCACAAAAAUGAGAUCCCCCAUCACUAAUAAGUACCCUAGGGGUUCCAAAGCGUGAGAAAAUUUGUCUUUUCAAGAAUUUAAUCACCGUAUUGGCAUCAUUCUCUGGACAUGCUAAAGCAUCCACCCAUUUACUCACAUAAUCAACAGCCACCAAAAUAUAUUCAUUAUUGAAUGAUGGUGGAAAAGGUCCAACGAAAUCAAUACCCCAACAAUCAAAAACUUCAACUUCCAAAAUACCUUGUAAUGGCAUCUCAUGCCUUCUUGAAAUAGCUCCUGUCCUUUGACACUUAUCACAAUUUCUAGCAUGAUUACGCGCAUCUUUGAAUAAAGUAGGCCAAUAAAAUCCUGACUGAAGAAUUUUUGCAGUUGUUCGCUCCCCAUUAUAAUGCCCUCCAUAAGGAGAAUUAUGACAAUGCCAAAGGAUUCGUUCUGCCUCUUCCUUAGUUACACAUCUCCUUAAAAGAUUAUCUGCUCCAAUCUUGAAUAAGUAUGGAUCAUCCCAUAUAAAUUGUUUAGCAUCAAAAUAAAACUUCUUUUUCUAUUGCCAAUUUAAUUCUUUAGGGAUAACACCUGCAACUUUAAAAUUAGCCAUAUCAGCAAACCAUGGCCUUUGUUGUAUGUACAAAAGAGUUUCAUCUGAAAAAGACUCCCAGACUUCCUUCUCCUUGCUUGUUACUUCCGUGUUAACCAGUCGAGAUAAGUGAUUAGCCAUCAAAUUUUCACUUCCCUUUUUAUCCCGAAUUUCUAUAUCAAAUUCUUGUAAAAAAAGUACCCACCUGAUUAACCAUGGCUUUGAAUAUGGAUUUGUUAACAAGUACUUAAUAGCUGCAUGAUACGUAUAAACUAUAACUUUAGAUCCAAUAAGAUAAGAUCUAAAUUUCUCCAGUGCAUAGACUAUGGCCAAAAGUUCUUUCUCUGUGGUAGCAUAAUUUAACUGGGCUUCAUUUAAGACUUUACUAGCAUAGUAAAUAGCAUGAAAUACUUUUUCUCUUCUUUGGCCCAUUACUGCACCUAUGGCAUAGUCACUAGCAUGACACAUAAGUUCAAACUCUUUAGUCCAAUCUGGAGCUACAAUCACUGAAGCAGAAAUUAAGCUUUUCUUCAGAACAUCCAAAGCUUUCGAACAUUUAGAACUCAUCUCAAAUGGUGCAUCCUUCACUAACAAAUUACUCAAUGGCUUAGCAAUCUUUGAGAAGUUUUUAAUAAAUCUUCGAUAGAAACCGGCAUGACCUAAGAAACUCUGGAUUCCUUUCACAUUUGAUGGUGGUGGAAGCUUUUCAAUGACCUACACUUUAGCUUUGUCAACUUCAAUCCCUUUAGCCGAAAUUUUGUGUCCCAACACAAUUUCUUCAGUAACCAUAAAAUGGCAUUUUUCCCAAUUUAAAACAAGAUUUGUUUGGACACACCUUUUAAGAACUGCAUCUAAGUUGUUUAAGCAUUUUUGAAAAGAAUCACCAAAUACCGAAAAAUCAUCCAUGAAGACUUCUAUGCUUUUCUCCAUAAAUUCCGCAAAGAUGGCUUGCAUACACCUUUGAAAUGUGGCAGCUGCAUUACAUAAUCCAAAUGUGAAAGUUGUUUUAUCUUGAUCUUUAGGAUCCACCAGAAUUUGAUAUAUCCAGAAUAACCAUCAAGAAAGCAAUAAUAUGCUUGCCCAGCUAAUCUCUCUAGCAUCUGGUCCAUAAAGGGUAAAGGAAAAUGAUCUUUCCUGGUGGCUGUAUUUAGCUUUCUGUAGUCAAUACACAUCCGCCACCCAGUAACUGUUCGCGUAGGAAUUAAUUCAUUUUUCUCAUUAUAAAUUACUGUCAUUCCUCCUUUCUUUGGCACCACUUGAACUGGACUUACCCAUUUACUAUCAGAUAUUGGGUAUAUAAUUCCUGCUUCUAGUAACUUCAACACUUCCUUUCUCACAACUUCUUUCAUAACUGGAUUUAAUCUUCUUUGUGGUUGAGCCACUGGUCGAUAAUCACUCUCCAUAAGAAUCCUGUGCAUACAAUAUGUAGGGCAUAUUCCUUUAAGAUCUGUAAUUGACCAGCCUAUAGCACCUUUAUUUACCUUUAAGACUUCCACCAACUUUUCUUCUUCUUUUGGAGAUAAUAGCUUACUAAUAAUAAAUGGCUUCUGUCCACCAGCUUCCAAAAACACAUACUUCAAAUGUGGUGGUAGUUCCUUCAAUUCGAGCUUACUUUCCUUUACUUUCUUCUUAGAAUCAAUUCGUUCAAAACUGACCUCUUCUAUUGGGAUUUCUUUCAUUUCUUCCAAUUCACGAACACACUCUUCAAUCAUUUUCUCUUCUUCUUCAUGCAAAUCUUCAUUCUCAUUAACAAGCGACCUCUUCAGUGCAGAUGCAUUUCGCAUUCUCUUAUCUUGCAUCAUACAAAGUUCUUCCACAAUGUCUCUUUGGAAACAUGACUUUUUGUCUCUAGGAUAUGACAUUGCUUGGAAGACAUCAAAAUUCACCUCUUCAUCCUGUACUCUGACCUUUAGCUUACCAUUCUCCACAUCAAUUAAAAUUCUAGUUGUCUUCAUGAAAGGUCUUCCAAGAAUCAAAGGUGCAUCUCCAUUUUCCUCCAUCUCCAUGGCAACAAAACCCACCGGGAAUAAAAAUUUGUAUACUUUAACUAUCACAUCUUCAGUCACUCCAAAUGGGUAUUUAAGAGAUCUAUCUGCUAAUUGAAGAGUCAUCCUUGUUGGCUUCAAUUCUAAUCCUCUGAUCUUUCUAAACAUAGAAAGAGGCAUUAGAUUAAUACUUGCUCCCAAGUCAAUCAGAGCUUUUCCCACUUCUAACUCUCCAAUAGUACAUGGAAUAGUGAAACUUCCUGGAUCUUGCAGUUUAGGAGGUAAUUUCCUUUGUAUUAUUGCACUACAGUUUCCUUGUACUUCAAUGGUUUCCUUCUCAACAUACUUCCUCUUUCUCAUAAGCAAUUCUUUUAAGAACUUAGCAUAUGAGGGCAUUUGCUGAAGUGCCACAGAAAAUGGUAUGGUUAUUUCCAACUUCCUGAAAAUCUCCACGAAACGCUCAAACUGCUUUUCCUUCUCCUUUCUUGAGUAUGUUUUUGGAUAAGGCAAAGGUUUAACAUACUCUUAUUCCUUCAAUUUGUCAACUUCUUCUCUCCUUUCAUCACCAUCACUAUUCUUUUCAACACUUUCUUUUUCUACCUUUCUUUUUUCGACUCUUCUUUCCUCCAAUACUCUCCCGCUUCUAGUAAUCAUUUCACACGCUUCCUUUUCCUCCCUUUUAUCAACAUAGAACACACUACUCUUCACAACUUUCUGAAACAUCUCUUUUGAAUCAAUGCUUCUUUGUAUUGGCAUGAAUUGAGGCUGUUCUGAAUUUCUUGGAACUUUUAUCAUCUCCUGUGGUACGCCAGAUAAUUUCUGAAUAAUUAUCUCCAUUUGCUGAGUAAUUAUCCUGUUUUGUUCCAUCAUGGAACUAUAAUCUUGUGAUUCUGAAAUUUUCUGUACAACAUCAGUGUCCUCACUCUGUAUUUCUUCAUUAUCUGUCAUACUUUCAAUUAACUCAUAAGCCUCAUCCUCGGUUUUCAUUCUGAUAUCCCCUCCGGCUGCAGCAUUUAAUAUCAUCUUUGACUGCAUCUGUAGUCCUCCAAUAAAUGCAAGAACUAUGGUUGUCUUAUCAAAUCCAUGGACCAGGGUCUUUCUUAACAAGCCUUUAAACCUAUCCCAUGCUUGCCCGAAAGUCUCUAUCAUGCCCUGCUUGAAUGAUGAAAUUUCCAGUCUUCCUUGUGUAAUUUUUGAUUGUGUAAUUAACAACCCNNNNNNNNNNNNNNNNNNNNNNNNNNNNNNNNNNNNNNNNNNNNNNNNNNNNNNNNNNNNNNNNNNNNNNNNNNNNNNNNNNNNNNNNNNNNNNNNNNNNNNNNNNNNNNNNNNNNNNNNNNNNNNNNNNNNNNNNNNNNNNNNNNNNNNCCCCCCCCACUUUGUGACUGACCUAAUUCUCGAACCACAUUUGGUCCUUGAGAGACGACCUAGGAGUCACUCCCUAGUCUAUAUUGCAUUCUUUUAAUUGCACACUAAAUUUUGCAUGGUGUGCGACACCCAUCAAAAUUUUGGCGCCACUAUCGGGGACCAACGGUUCGGUUUUAGAUCUUUUGUUGUGUUUGUGUGUGUUGUGUUUUGUCUUGUAUUGUGAGUGUGAUGUUCUGUUUUGUUUGUGAUGUCAUGUGUGUUGCAUUUAGGUAACUUUACUUGCAUAUUUUCAUUGCAUUCUUCUUUUCUCCCUUCUUUCUACGUGUAUGCCUAUUUAGAUUUUGUGGAUACUGCUUAUUCUGCCUGUGCCUAUGACUAUGAUGCUACUAUUGCAUGUUACUCUGAUUAUGAUCCUCCUGUUGAUUUCUAUGUUGAGAAAAGUAAGGUUCCCCCUCCACCUCAUGAGAGUGCUCCUAGGGAGCCAUUUCCACUUGAUGAGGGGGAUAUUCGUUGUGUUUUCAACACUGGACUGAUACAUUUGUUGCCUAGGUUUCAUGGUUUUGCAAGUGAAUGCCCACGUAGACAUUUGGAGGAACAUGAUAAAAUUAGGGCUUUUUGAUUUCUAUGCAUGAAUUGAUGAAAUAGAAAUUGUUUGAAUUGAUUGAAUUGCAUGAUUGUGGUCUGGAUUGAUGAAAUUAAAAAUAGAGUGGAGAUUAGAACAGCUUAGGAAAGGUUUUUGAAAAACCCUAGCCACCAUCGUUGAGCGGUCUGUUUUGACGCUAAGUGGUGGCACGGCUGGAGGCAAACCGCUGAGUGGUCUCCUUGGACGCUUAAGCGGUCUGCAGCGAAUUUUGCCUGAAUGCUUGAUUUUUAGGCUUGGAUGCUGGGGGCCCUGUUUUCCCUCAAUACUGGAUUAUGUGUGAUCUGAGUCAUAAAUUGAUGAUGCACUAACCUCUAAUGAUGUUUCUGUGAAUGUUAUUUGACUUAUUUGAUGCAGGAAUGUCUACCUAAAAAAGAAUGAGAACCAUGGGCAACAAGAGAAAGGAGCCAGAGAAACCAAGGAGAUUUUAUUCUCCCAGGUUUCUCUCCAAAAAGCAUGAGGAACAUUAUGCUACUGUCUAGGAGAGGUGUUUACUGAUGGAGAGAAAGGUUAUGUACAUCCCUUGAUAGCGUCGUCCAGUGGCAUGAUUCAACAUAGAACGUCAAGAAUGGCACAAUGGAAGUCAAGAGUGAAUCUGGCAGCGGAAGUAACUGAUAUUNNNNNNNNNNNNNNNNNNNNNNNNNNNNNNNNNNNNNNNNNNNNNNNNNNNNNNNNNNNNNNNNNNNNNNNNNNNNNNNNNNNNNNNNNNNNNNNNNNNNNNNNNNNNNNNNNNNNNNNNNNNNNNNNNNNNNNNNNNNNNNNNNNNNNNNNNNNNNNNNNNNNNNNNNNNNNNNNNNNNNNNNNNNNNNNNNNNNNNNNNNNNNNNNNNNNNNNNNNNNNNNNNNNNNNNNNNNNNNNNNNNNNNNNNNNNNNNNNNNNNNNNNNNNNNNNNNNNNNNNNNNNNNNNNNNNNNNNNNNNNNNNNNNNNNNNNNNNNNNNNNNNNNNNNNNNNNNNNNNNNNNNNNNNNNNNNNNNNNNNNNNNNNNNNNNNNNNNNNNNNNNNNNNNNNNNNNNNNNNNNNNNNNNNNNNNNNNNNNNNNNNNNNNNNNNNNNNNNNNNNNNNNNNNNNNNNNNNNNNNNNNNNNNNNNNNNNNNNNNNNNNNNNNNNNNNNNNNNNNNNNNNNNNNNNNNNNNNNNNNNNNNNNNNNNNNNNNNNNNNNNNNNNNNNNNNNNNNNNNNNNNNNNNNNNNNNNNNNNNNNNNNNNNNNNNNNNNNNNNNNNNNNNNNNNNNNNNNNNNNNNNNNNNNNNNNNNNNNNNNNNNNNNNNNNNNNNNNNNNNNNNNNNNNNNNNNNNNNNNNNNNNNNNNNNNNNNNNNNNNNNNNNNNNNNNNNNNNNNNNNNNNNNNNNNNNNNNNNNNNNNNNNNNNNNNNNNNNNNNNNNNNNNNNNNNNNNNNNNNNNNNNNNNNNNNNNNNNNNNNNNNNNNNNNNNNNNNNNNNNNNNNNNNNNNNNNNNNNNNNNNNNNNNNNNNNNNNNUUGAUGGCAAUUUCUUGGAAAGAAAAGGUAGAAGUAAAGCAUUCAAUAACAAUUGGAAAGUGAAAAGAUAGAAAACCUCCCCUUAAAAAUUUGUGUUCUAUUGUGAGAAUAGGGGAUGUUGCCAUUUCUUUCUUCUUUUCUUCCAUGUCUUUCUUUUCAAGUUCUUCCUUCUCUUCCUCUUCCUUUCUUUCUUCCUCUCUUAUUUUCUCUUCUUCUCUUCUCUCUUGUACUCUUCUCUCUCUUUCUUCUUCUUCUCUUCUCACUAGUUCUCUUCUCACUCUUUCUUCCUCUUCCUUUCUCUCUUGUUCUCUCUUUCUCUCUCUUUCUCUUUGUCUUUCUUCUUCUUCUUUUCUCUCUUUUCUUCUCUCUUGUCUCUCUAUUCUCUCUUGUAAUUGCCUAUGUUCUCUCUCAAAUCUUCUUCUACUUCCCUCAUUUAAGAAUUUCAUGAGUUUUUCUCUAAACUCUUUUUCCCUACGAUUGAAUCCACUUAAUUUUUCAAUGAAUGACUUGCCUUCUCUAAUAAACUCUCUCAUAUGUUCUAAGGUACUUUUAAUAUUUGAAGGCACAAACUUUCUUCUCAUGCAUGAUCUUAAUUCAUACCAAUUUUCAAUGGUGGAUUUUCUACCUUUAUGAACCCAAUAUUGCCUUUCAUCCCACCACUCUAGUGCAUGUUUUUCUAAUCUAGAGAGAUAUAAACUAAGAACUCGAGAUUCACAUUCUCUAGAAAGAACAAUUGUACUAUAAGACUCAAGUUCACUUUGCUUAAGAAGAUGAGGAUGCAUUUGAUUAAUUUCCUUUUCCCAAACUAGGUAUGUUAAAACAUUUGUAUCUUUACCAAAGAAGGGAAUUUUUCUAGCUUUAGUACACAAAUCAUCCUUAAUGUAUGAACUAGACAUCCUAGAUGAAUAAAAAGACAUUUCUAAAAGUUGUCUUGUGUUGCAACUACUUAGGUUUCACCCAAAAACAAUUUCCAGGUAAGGGAGGUGAAUCACUAGGAUUACUUAAGUACCAAGCCUUGUCCUUGCCAAAAUUGUUCUAAGCUACUCACUUAGUUGUUGUUACUUGCAAGAUUACUUUUAAAAAUCACAAAAGAAGACUCAAAAGCAAAUAAAAAACAACAAAUUGGGACUCUAAUGCCGGACUCUAAAGUUUCCUAACGUGAAACACCAAAUUAAAACACACAAGAAAAGUUUUGCCAAGAGUUGAAAGAGCACCAAGGACUCUUCCAAGACAACUUGGACUUUGAAUGGCCUUUUACAAAGAAGAAACUAACAAAGCAAACCUAUUUCAAAUUCAAAACAAAAUAAACGAAACAAACUCAAGUGUUGCUGCCACGGUUUUGGAGUCUCCUAGCUUGUGGUUUUANCUCUCCAAUUCUCGGUUUUAUUGCUGCAGUUUAAAAGAGUCUCCUAUGCUUUUCAAAAAUUUGGUCUCAGCUUGGUACAAUCAUGGACUGUUUUCCAGCAAAAUAUGAAGUAUGCAGUUGUGUGCAGUUGCUGUGACAGUAAUUUGGAUUGGUGCAGCGUAAGUGCUUUGGUCUUGUACACUCCAGGCAGCUAAAGGAAUCGUUGUUACUCUCCAAUUAUAAACUUUAGCUCUCAACUGUUCCAAGGGCAAAUUCUUCAAUUCCUCUCACGGCUUUGCUUUGCUUCCACAUUCCAGAAUAAGCAUUGCUGCUAUGAUUUCUGACGUUGAAGUUGUCCAGUAUUGACACUAAUUAACAGCCAAGUGUGCUUCCAAUUCUCCAGAAUGUUGGAGCUUUUUACCAACCAGAUUUAAAUCCUGUUCAAUUAGAUUAUACCAAGAGCAAAAACUUUUCCAAACUGAGCAACAUAUUAAUGAGUCAAUUGGACAAAUUUUGGUGACUUGAACAACUAGAAAGUAAUAACCAAACUGAUCAAAACAGUAUUNUAUCAAAACAGCAUUUUGGCUAGCUGUACAAGUCCAAAAUAAUGCUCAACUGAACAAAAUAAGACCAGCUUAUUCAGAUUUGCUUCAAAAAUCAAUUUGACUAUAUGAGUUGCAAUCAAAUCUGAAUAUGUGCACUUUCAAAAAUUGCCUUUUCAAAAGAUUGAUAAUAACAGUUCCAACCCAAAAGAUUAAUGGUUAAAAUCAGAACUCAAUGCAGAAUUCAAUCAUCAUCAUGCUCGGCUGUAACUGUUUUCAAUAAAUUUCAGCAUGCAAUGCAUUGACUAUGAUGGAUGCACAAUAGUUAAAACAGUGGGAGCACCACUGAUUCAACAAUCACAACUUGUUACUCCUUGGUCAAGCCAAAUGUUAACUCUGCACAAAGAACAUUCAGUAACAAUUGUUAGCCAACAACUGAAUUCUCUCUCAAUGAAAGUGGAUCAGAUCAAAUCUCACAACUACAGGUCUGGUGUUUGUGCACUAUGUUGUUUCAGCACUCAGAAAUGGUAAAAAAGAAAGUAGUGUGCAACUUUGGUCUCUCUCAAAGGAAGCUGCAUGAAAAUUGGAUGCAGCACAAGUCUCACAGUUGCUAUCAAUUGAAGCUGUUAUGUCUGGAUGCAGAAUCAGGUCUGCUUCACACAAUUACAGUAACUGCUGCAGCAAAUAUGCAGUCACUGCUUUGAAUUUUCUGCAGCACCGAAAUUGGCUUUCUGCACUUGAUUCCGCCCACACUCCACUUCCUAAGAGGCUACCAUUGAUGUGUAGAUAUCUCUGGCUAUGCUGCACCAACAGAAAUUACCUCACACAGAUCACCAAGUCACACUUUAAUUCCAAUACAGAGUUAUAGUUGCUACCAGAAUUACAUUCAAAUGGACAGCACCACAAAACCUUUAAUCAAACAGGUUGUGUGCAGGAUGGCCAAUAACUUGAAAAUCAAGCAAUUAAGCAGCUAACAAUCAUGGAAGCACUUCAAAAAGAUCCUAAAAAUAGCUCUAGAAUGUAUUAAGAAAGCAAUAAACAAUUGGAAGUUGCAGAAUCGAACAAUUCAACUCAGAUUUAAAAAUUGACCAAUGUGUUUGAUGAAAUGCCUGAAUGAACUGUUGAAACUGUGCUGCACCAGAGUAAAUUUUCGUGACUGAUUGGCACUGGUUCGAAAGCUUUUUUACUGUGCAAAUGGUAUGUUUUGCUUAAUUUUAAUCAUGCACUGUUUUUAACUCAAUUGAACCAAGCUUUUGCUACCAAUAUGAACUUAAACUCAAUGCAACAGUUCAUCACAUAAGCUCAAACANAUUCUGCAACUAUACCAGAAACAAUAUCCAAAACUUGGUGGAUUGAAUGGUCAAAAUGCACAGCAGUGAUUAGAAGUCCAAUUUCAAGGUUUGAGCAACUUUACUUUAACUAAUAUGACUUAUACAAGCUGCCAAAAGAGUUGGAAUUAACGUAAAUCAAAAUCUGGUUGGUCAAGUUGCCUUUUUCACACAAGAUUUGUCUAAUUUCAGCAACCAAAUCUCACANAAUCAGUAACUAUGUUUGGAUCCUCAAUUUGGUUCUUUAAACAAGUUUGUUUGACCAAAAAUNACAUGUAUAGAUUGGCAGCAGAGGCUGAAACUGUGUAAAUCAAAUUUUCACCAUACAAGUUGCUCUCAACAUCAAAAUUUCAACUAUUCACCAUCCAAAUUUCAGAUUAUGAUUCAAAAUGAACUAAUUACAGAUUUAUCAGUUCUGGACAGCUCACUCAAAUUGAAGAAAGACUCUAGAAAGUAUUUAAGAUGUUCAGCAAAGAUGAAUGUGCCAAACCAGAUUCAGAAACAACAAAAAAAAACAGAGAAAAUUUCAAACUAGGAUGAUGCAGUUCGGACUACUGCAGAACUGGAUUGUUGGAAGUGUAAAUGGAUGCUACACUUCAAUUGACUUAAGCCAAAUCACUGUUCAUAUGGUAAACAACUUCACCAUCACAGCACAAUCACUUCACGGCAAUACAGAACCAGAUUUCAAAUGCAAACAGAUUCAUAGAACAAUGCAGAAAUCAUAUCAAACUGCUUAAUACAACCAGAUUCCAGUUGUUCCAGUGAUCAAUGCACUGUAAAGCAACGUUGAAUCUUAGAAGCUCUUUAGAUCAUUGCUUCUAUAUGUGAAUCUUUUUUUAACAAAACUCAGUCAGAACAGUAAGGUUGUGCCAAACCAAUUUUAUACUCAGAAAUUUACAAAGAACAAUUUAACACGUGACUAAACAUGACAUAUUAAGAUCUGAAAAAUAAAGACUCAAUAGCACAGAUUUGUCCGAUUAAAAUGAUGAGAAUAAAGCAAAGAAAAGCUGGAUCAAGAAGAUGACUCAAAGGAAUCUAUAGAAUGUAAACAAAAAUUCAAUGGAACAGUAACAAUGCAGUACAUGACAGAAGUGUUGAUGACAGUACGGAGAUGAAACUUAUCUGGACAAGCUCACUUCGCUGGAAACGUUGCAGCACCCAAGCUCUGAUACCACAUGAUAGCGUCGUCCAGUGGCAUGAUUCAACAUAGAACGUCAAGAAUGGCACAAUGGAAGUCAAGAGUGAAUCUGGCAGCGGAAGUAACUGAUANNNNNNNNNNNNNNNNNNNNNNNNNNNNNNNNNNNNNNNNNNNNNNNNNNNNNNNNNNNNNNNNNNNNNNNNNNNNNNNNNNNNNNNNNNNNNNNNNNNNNNNNNNNNNNNNNNNNNNNNNNNNNNNNNNNNNNNNNNNNNNNNNNNNNNNNNNNNNNNNNNNNNNNNNNNNNNNNNNNNNNNNNNNNNNNNNNNNNNNNNNNNNNNNNNNNNNNNNNNNNNNNNNNNNNNNNNNNNNNNNNNNNNNNNNNNNNNNNNNNNNNNNNNNNNNNNNNNNNNNNNNNNNNNNNNNNNNNNNNNNNNNNNNNNNNNNNNNNNNNNNNNNNNNNNNNNNNNNNNNNNNNNNNNNNNNNNNNNNNNNNNNNNNNNNNNNNNNNNNNNNNNNNNNNNNNNNNNNNNNNNNNNNNNNNNNNNNNNNNNNNNNNNNNNNNNNNNNNNNNNNNNNNNNNNNNNNNNNNNNNNNNNNNNNNNNNNNNNNNNNNNNNNNNNNNNNNNNNNNNNNNNNNNNNNNNNNNNNNNNNNNNNNNNNNNNNNNNNNNNNNNNNNNNNNNNNNNNNNNNNNNNNNNNNNNNNNNNNNNNNNNNNNNNNNNNNNNNNNNNNNNNNNNNNNNNNNNNNNNNNNNNNNNNNNNNNNNNNNNNNNNNNNNNNNNNNNNNNNNNNNNNNNNNNNNNNNNNNNNNNNNNNNNNNNNNNNNNNNNNNNNNNNNNNNNNNNNNNNNNNNNNNNNNNNNNNNNNNNNNNNNNNNNNNNNNNNNNNNNNNNNNNNNNNNNNNNNNNNNNNNNNNNNNNNNNNNNNNNNNNNNNNNNNNNNNNNNNNNNNNNNNNNNNNNNNNNNNNNNNNNNNNNNNNNNNNNNNNNNNNNNNNNNNNNNNNNNNNNNNNNNNNNNNNNNNNNNNNNNNNNNNNNNNNNNNNNNNNNNNNNNNNNNNNNNNNNNNNNNNNNNNNNNNNNNNNNNNNNNNNNNNNNNNNNNNNNNNNNNNNNNNNNNNNNNNNNNNNNNNNNNNNNNNNNNNNNNNNNNNNNNNNNNNNNNNNNNNNNNNNNNNNNNNNNNNNNNUAAGCACACCCCUCUCCUUUUGUAGAAAUGACCAUUUUACCCCUUCUCCAUGUGUUGAUUUAGUCCACAAGUGAUGGGUCCAUGAUGGGCUUGGACCCAUGUCAUCAUCCCUGAUCUAGCUCCAAAGUUUGGACUAAAGAUUGAGAGGCGAGGCUAGGAAAGAUUGACUACUUACCCUGCACCAGCUAGUAUUGAGCUGGUAAAGGAAUUCAAUGCCAACGCCUUGACCAGAGGAGGAGUAUCAGCAGGGAGGUACACUAGCUAUGUGAGGGGGCAAUUGAUGAGAUAUGACCCCGACACCAUCAACACUUUCUUAGGGACUGAGUGGCCAAGAGAGUAGUGUAGGUAUGUUGCUAUACUAGGGGAGGCCAGGGAUUAUGAAGACAUUGAGAGAGUGAUGUGCAUCCUUGGGAGACACUUUCAGAGAAACCCUAAUGGAGCACCAGUCAACAUCCUUAGGGCAGAUUUGGCUCCCUUAGCCAAGUACUGGAUGGCAUUCACUCAUGCCAACAUACAACCAUGCUCUCAUGUCUCCGACAUCACGCUACAUUACAUUCUAGUCAUCUACUGUAUGUUGAGGCAGAUGGAUGUUAAUGUUGGCAAGAUCAUUGCUAGUGAGAUUCAGAGUUGCGCUACCCUUGUGAGUAGCAGGACACCACUGGGACAUUCGUCCCUGAUUACAUACUUGUGCCAGCAGGCGGGAGUGGACAUUGCAGUUCCACCCUAUGAGAGGCCGAGGAGGGCUAUUGAUGCCUCCUAUUAUCGUCAAUAUUGUGGAGGUGACGAGCCAGCAGGAGUAGUUCCUAGGAGACGUCCUAGGAGGGCAGCAGAGCAGUAGGAGGAUGAGCCUGCAGAUGCACCGGCACAGCAUGCUGAGCCUUUCCAUAUGAGGGACAUGUAUGUGUCCAUGAUGGAGGCGAGGAUGGAGUCUCUCCGCAGAGGGCAGGUGGCCACUGCUGAGAUGAUUAUAGGUCUUUAUGAUCAGCCACCAGUGCACAGGUGGACUAUGGAUGAGUUCCAUAGUGCUAUGGCUUGGCCUCAGGAGCAGGCGCAGGGCAGUGGGUCUGGAAUAGCUGGAGCACCAGACAGAGAUCAUGAUGAUGAUGAUGAUGAUGAUUUUGAGGAUGCACAGGCUUGGGAUGAGUAUGAAUCGGGUGAGGACAUGGAUUAAUGAGGCAUCUACUGGUGGAUGUCAACACUUAGACAGGGGGUUUUUCUUUUUCUUUUGUACUUUGGAUUUGUAGUAUAGGAGAAUUUUAUCUUUGUGUCUAUGUUUGGCUUGUACACUGAUUCUGAUGGUGGUUUGAUUUUAUUGCAUGAUGAGUUAUUCAAUUAUGAUGAUUGAAUGUGGUUGAUGAUUGGUUCACAAAUUGUGUGAACAGAUGUGUAGUGAUUUAUGAUUAUGAUUAUGAUGCUAAGCAAGAUUCAUGAAUGAUGUGUGAGAAAGCAUGUUAUGUGAGGUAUUGAGCUCCAGAGUCUUUAUUGAUGUAUGUAUUGUUCAUAGGGAAUCAUGAAUUAUAUUGCCUUAGUCUUGAUAAUUGAUUGAAUUGCAUGCUUAUGUUGUAUGAUUAAGGCCAUGUUUGGAAGCCCUUACUUAGCCAAAUUUUCACCCAAAAUGUUUAAAAUAUUAUACCCUUUUUGAACCUUGGCCUUAAACAGAAUGAAAACCCUUGAUUUGAAUUGAUUUACCUUGAGUUGGGUUGAGAAUAAUUGCAUGUGUUGGAAAGGUUCAAGUUUGGGGUUGUAUGGGGAAAGUUGAAAGGCAAAAGAAAGGCAUUGAGCUCAACGGUUGUAAAAGAAAAAAGCAUGAGAGAAAGAAAGAAAAAAAAAAGGGAAAAAGUUGGGAAUGAGUGAGAUUGGUUCAAAAGAGAGUGGUGCUUGAACUUUGAAUGAUAAUUUAAACUCUCUCAACUCAAGGAUUUUGUGUUCUAGAAAAACCAUUUUUUCUUGAUAGCCCAGCCACAUUACAAGCCUUGGAAAAGUCCUUGUGAUGACAUUUGCAUGUAAGGAUUUUGAUUGUUUUAAAUGAAUAGCAAUAUUGUUUUAUGUGACAUGUGAACAAUAGAGAGUGGAGUGCUCCCUUAAACACUUGAGUGAUUGUGUGAAACACUUGCUUGGUGAGAAUUGUUGAAAUCCAUGUUUACAUCUAUGCUUAGUGGAUUGAUCAUUCAUAAAUAAAACAUCUGUUUGGAAAGAGAUGAUUAUGUGAACUAACUUGGAUUGAAAGCAUGCAUGCAUCUUGAUAAGAUUCCACUGAAAAUCUAAAUUGAAUAAUAACUUGUUGUGAGAAAAAGGAAUUUUGAAAGUGUUGAACUAUUUGAUGAAGAAGUGGAAAGCCAAGUUUUUUCUUUUUUUUGUCUUGUUUGCUUGAGGACAAGCAAAGUUCUAAGUUUGGGGUUGUGAUAACGGUCUAAAAACCGUUUUCAUGCUUAAAGGGGAAACCGUUGAGCGGUUAACUUAGACGCCUGGGCGGUUAUCUAUUUUUAUUAUUGCGGAUUCUGGGAUCUUUCUGUUAUCUGCCAAAACUCAUUCUUUUGGCAGAGAGAAACAUCCAUAACAGCUCUACAUUCCUUGGAGGCCGUUCUUUGGAUGCUUAGGCUCCAAACUACUUAAUCUAGGGUUUAUUCUUUCAUUCUUCCAUUGUAUUUCAUCUAGUUUCACCAUGAUUAUGGUGAACUAAACCCUUUGUUGUUGGGGAACAAUGUAAUCUUUUGAAACUCUCAUAUAUCCAAAUUCUUAUUUAUUUUAUAUGCUUGCAUAUGCUUGAUUUAUCAAUUGUUGGGUUCCUUACCUGUAUUUAAUGCUUUUAUCGUUUAACUCAUUCGAUAACUGUUGUUUGUCUUUAUUGAUACGGGAACGUACAAUAAUGUCAUGAACUGGGGGGAAUUCCUUGAUUAUGCAAUACCACCUAGGGAUAGGGGUAGGACGAUCAAUUGUAUUUUGCUUCCGUUUAUCAUGCAUUAUUAAUUACUAGGGGAGCCUAGGGAUAGAAGGUCGGUAAUUAAUAAUAGGCUCUUUUCGCCAAGGGAUUGGAUUAAGGGUAGAUCAAGAAAGUUUGCAUGACAAUAUGAUAAAUAAGCUAAUUAAAUAAGAAGAGUAGAUAUAUAAGGGUGAAUAAGAUGAAAUUGUAAACCCUAACAACACCAUUCAUUCAUAGUUUUUCCUUGCCAAUUGAAUCACUGUAUUUGCAUGUUUACUUUUGUUUUUUCAUUCAAAACCCUAAAAUUAAUUUCUUUCUCAAGUCUUAUGCAAUUGGUUUACAUGAAAGUUAAGGCCUAAGAGUCCUUUGGGAAACGAUACUUGGACUUGCCCAUUUUAUAUUACUUGAUAAUGAUCUGGUACACUUGCUAGGGACUUAACAAUUAUCAGGGAGGAGAAGUUGAACAUCGUUCCACUGUGAUGAAGUUGGUGGAUCCGUAAGGUUAUUUGGUCAGGUUUGUGUCGUUAAACAAGCUCUUACGGCGAGGCAUCCCGGGAUUUUGAUUUUCUUUUGUAAUUUGAAUUUUUAGAAUAGGUUUGCUUCUAUUGAGUAGUGUAGGGUAAUGUACCUUGUCUGAAACUUUUCUGCUAUAAUAGUUUGACUAUGUGCUUGCAUGAGAUAAUUGCUUGAUGAUGCUUGUUUUGAAUGAGGAUUGAGAUUGCCAUAUGCUGAGAUACAGGUGAAAUGUUCACUAGCUAUGUGAAUAGAUGCAUUGUGAUUUUGUGAUUGUGAUUAUGAGGCUAAGCAGGGUAUUUGAUUGAAUGGUUGGAAUAAGCUUGUGUGUGAGGUUUUUGAGCUCCAAAGUUCUUGUUGAUGUAUUUGCUAUCUAUGUGAAAACAUGAAUGAUUUUGCCUGAGUUUCUAUGAUUGAUUGAGUUGUAUGUAUGUGUCAUAUGAUCAAGGCCGUUUUUGAUAAGCCCUUUUUCUAGCCAAAUGAAAUUUUCGUCCCACAUGAAAAAUAACAUCUUAUGUUCUACCCUUUUUAAACCUAAGCCUUAAACAAAAGAAAACCCUUGCUUUGAAAAUCUUUGCCUUGAGUUAGGAUGAGAAAUAUUUUGUGGUGUUGUUAAAGGUUCAAGUUUGGGGUUGAUAGGAGAAUUGAAAAAGAAAAUGUUUGACAUUGAGCUAAUGAGUUGAAUGAAAAUGCAUGAAAAAGAAAGAAAAGAUAGAAAAGAAAAGCAUGAAAAGAAAAGUUCAAUGUAAAGAAAAAGGGAAAGUUAGGAAUGAGUGAGAUUGGUAAAAAGAGAAUUUGUGCUGGAACCAUGAUUAUGUGAAUAACUCUCUUAACUCAAGGAUUUUGUCAUCAAGAAAAACCAAUUUUCCUUGUUAGCCCAAUCACAUUAUAAGCCUCGAGAAGUCCUUGUGAUGACAUGUGUAUGUGAUGAUGUUGAUUAUUGAAAAUGAAUGGCAAUUUUGUUCUAUGUGACAUAUGGAUGGUAGAGGGAUGAAGUAACCUUUUGAAACACUUGAGGCUUGAGUGAAACACUUUUUCUGGAGAGGUAGAAUUCCAUGAAUCCAUGAUUAUAUAUAUGCUUAGCUAAUUAAUCAUUCAUGAGAAUAGCAUCUGUUGGGUUUUAUGAGAUUGUGAAGAACACUAUAAUGGUUUGAUUUGAAGCAUAUGUGCAUCUUGAUUGAAUUUUCCGGAUAAGCUGAUUUAAGUGAUAACUUGUGUUGAAAUAUGGAGUUUGAAAAGGUUGAACCAUUGUGAUGAAUUGUGGAGAUUAGAUUACAUUGUGUUUGCUUGAGGACAAGCAAAGUUCUAAGUUUAGGGUUAUGAUAACGGUCUAAAAACCGUUAUUUUCAUCAUUCAAUUUUACAUAAAAACAUACCUUUUAUGACUUAGAAUUUGCGUGAAAUCAUGCAAAAUGUUUAAGUUAGAAAGAAAGAAAGUCAAAGUGGGUUUUCUAGGUUUUAUGUUUGGUUUCCCUUAUUUUGAUAGAAUUUAUUAGGAAUUUGGUGAUGGAAUUGAAGGAAGAGAAGUGUUGGAAGAAGAAGAAGGUGGAAAAGUGAGGAAAACAUGAAUCGCAGCCACUGUCAGGCAGUGUGACCUUCUAUGCAUAACGUCGCCAAGCGCUUAAGGGGCACCGCUAAGGGGUGGAGUUGGAAUUGCACCCACCGUGGGGCGGUGUUAACACUGUCGGGCGGUGCACUUAAGGGACCUGGGCUUAUUUUCAGUUAUUGUUCUGUGUUAUAAAUACAUUUGCACGACCUAGGGCAUGGAUCUUUUGGUAGAAAGGAUGCAGAAACACAGUUUUCACACCUCGGAGGCGGAUUUUGGAUGCGAGAGCUCCAAUAUUACAAAUCUAGGGUUAUCUUUUAUCUUCUUUCCAUUCAAUUCAUCUAGAUUCACCAUGAUUAUGGUGAACCAAACCCUUUUUUGUUGGGGAACGAUGUAAUGCUUUGAAACUUUCUUAUAUCGAAUUUCUUAUUUUAUUCAUAGACUUGUGUUUAUGAAUAGUUUGAGUUUUUCUUUCAUUCUUAUGAGUGCUUUGUUUAAGACAUUAUUCAAAUGCAUCAUCUUUGAGUAUUUCUAUAUGGAGACGUAUAGUUAGGUCUAAACAUGAAUAAUUUCUCUUGAUAAUGAAUAUUACCUAGACACAGGAAUAGGAACAUCAAUUGCCUUAAGCUUAUGUGUUUAUUGCAUGAUCAAUUACUAGGGAGACUACAGAUGGUAAACUAGCAAUUGUGAUUUGGCUCUUUUCACCGAGAGAUUGGGCUUAAAGUAAAAUUGAGUGGCGUAAACAUUGACAACCAAGUUGAAGUGGAUAUUUGAGAGUGGAUUAGGAUGAAAUCGUAAACCUCACUAACAACACCAUUCAUCCAUAUCUUUUUCUUGCCAAUUGAUCAAAGUCUUUGUUGUUUAUUUCUUGUUUUGCAUUUAAAACUCAACUUAUCAUUUAUUUAAGUCUUAUGCUUUCCAUUAAUCACAUGAACGUUUAGGCCUAAGAGUCAUUUGGGAGACGAUCCUCAGACUUACCGUUUAUUGAUUACUUGAUACAAUCUGGUACACUUGUCAGGGUGUUAACACCUAUGUUCAUGCACCUACAUACCCAUUGUGUAUCACUAAGUGGCCUACUAGAACUAAUGGUGUACUAUCUACUCUAAAAUGUAGCAGAAUAUGGUUAUGCAUUGACCUAGCCAUGGUAAAUGGGCCAUUAGGUGUAUUAGAUAUAUUAUCUUUAUCUUGUUUUUGUUUUAUGUCUUUAGUUAGUUUGUUAUUAUUUAUUAUUUUUAUUUUGGGCUUAGCUAAUAUUUCUUGUAUUAUAAAUAGAGUGUCCUAUGUGUAUAUUCAAUGGGAGAUUAAUCCUAUACAUAGUUUUCACUAUAUUCAUCAUGGUAUCUAGAACCUGGUUCUUGUAAGGAAAAAAAAAUUGUUAUCUCUGUCAUUACACCUACUACUGUCGGCGGCGACGCCAUCUAAUGCUAUCAAUGGUGCCAUCAUCUACCGAUGUCGUCUACCGUAACCACUACUAGAGUUUCAAUUUCAAUUAACGGUCCCACGAUUUUGAUGGUCUCGGUGAGGUGACCAUUGUAACUAUCUUAAUUUGGAUUUUAGAAAAUGUGUAAAAAUUUAAAAAUUUUCACAAUCAUGAAUAGAAUCAUUCUAUUUUAAUACAACAAAAAUCUAUAAAACAAAUUUCUUUCAUAUUCUACAUCAUGGUUAUUUAAUAUUUAUAACUCGAUGAUUAAAUAUAAAAGUAUACAAUUACAAAACAAUUUAAAACCAAACAUUAAAUAUGCAUGUCAGUUAUAAAUCUUACCAAGUCUUUAUCCUAAGCUCUUCAAAAUAAUCCUUUACACCCGUACAGUCAUCUGCAUUCAUAUAUGAGUCUAUGUAUAACCUGUAUUUAUAGUAUCAUUAUGAUAACGGUCUAAAAACCGUUAUUUUCAUGCUUAAAUUUGAUAGUAAAACACACCCUUUAUGGCUUAGAAUGGGCUUUGAAUCAAGUAAAACGCUUAGUGAUAUUAUGCUUGUUUUGCAUUGUUUUGCAGGGUUUUUAGAUAAAUUGAAGAUGGAAGUAAAGUAAGGUGAACUUAGACCCGUGAAAGAAGGAGAAAAAACAUGAAGAGAAGGGUCAAGCAAGCCGCUGAGCGUCAAUGGCCGCUAAGCACUCAGAGCGAUUAGAGGGAAACCGCUCAGCGGCAAAACUGACCGCUGAGCGGUCAAAGCGGCAAGACCCAAACCGCUGAGCAGUGAACUUAGGCGCCUGGGCUGUUGUUUUUUUUUUAGCUAGAUUCUAUAAAUCUAUCUGUAAUCUAUCUGUUAUCUUUUUGGGCUUAUACAUAGCCCUAGUGCGAAUUAGAAAGGGAUUCUUUUGGCAGAGAGAAACGUCCAGAGCUAUUCCACACACCUUGGAGGAGGUUCCUUGGAUGCUUAGGGUCCAUUCAACCAAGAUUAGGGUUAUUUCUUCCAUUCUGUCAUUAUUUUCUUCUAGUUUCACCAUGAUUAUGGUGAACUAAACACUUUGUUGUUAGGGAACAAUGUAAUCUUUUGAAACUCUCAUAUAUUCAAAUUCUUAUUUAUUUCAUAUGCUUGUCAUAUACUUAUUUAUCAAUUGUUGGGUUCUCAUCUGUGCUCAAAGCUUUUAUUGUUUAACUCAUACAGUAAAAUAUGUUUGUUUUUAUCGAUAUGGGGACGUACGGUAAUGUCAUGAACUGGUGGGAAAUUCCUCGAUUAUGCCAAUAUCGCCUAGGGAUAGGGGUAAGAUGGUCAUUUGUAAUUGCUUUCGAUCGCAUUGCAUUAUUGGUUACUAGGGGAGGCUGGGGAUAGCAAGCCGGUAAUUAGUAAUAGGCUCUUUUCACCAAGGGAUUGGGUUAAGGGUAAUUAAGAAAGUAUGCAUGGCAAUUAGAUAAAUAAGUGAAGUAAAUAAGAAGAGUAGAUAUAUGAGAGUGGAUAAGAUGAAACUGUAAACCCCAACAACACCAUUCAUCCAUAGUUUCUCAAAACCAAUUGAAUCAACUACAUUGCAUGUUUAUUUUUUUUCUUUGAAUAUAACUACCAAAUUUAUUCCUUUCUCAAGUCUUAUGCGAUUAGUUUACAUGAAAGAUUAGGCCUUUGAGUCCUUUGGGAAGAACGAUAUUGGGUUUACCAAUUAUAUUACUUGAUAACGAUCUGGUACACUUGCCAGGGGUUUAACACAUUACACAAGCACAUAUACCAACAAACAAAUACAAACACAAACAAGUAGAGGUGAUCUAACGUUUACAACAUAUAUAUACAAAUAGUAUAUGAUGGAAGCGGUUCCAAUCUUCAAGAAUUGGACAGCUCCUUAGUUAGAAUGACGCAGCGGAGAUGACAAAAUGGUUGAUGGAGGCAGUGCACUGAAGGUGUUUGAUGAAUUAUUUGGUGCGGGUUUGGAAGUGUAUAGGUAGAUUCUCUAACUCAGACGACCUUCCAAGGGGAAAGGAACCUAGAGGAUAAGUGUGCUAAUAAGACACAAGUCAGUGAACUUGAAGAAGAAGUGGCUGGUUGCAAUCCAACAACAUUUCACUAUAUUCAUUCAAGUUAAGUUUUACAAUGGAUUGAAGCUCUCUUUUAUAGAUGAAGAGGAGCUUGAAAAUGUAAAUGAGUCCUCUUUGCCUCCUUUGUUCUUCCUUGCUUGGCAACAUUCCUAGGAUGUGUAGGCAUUCUUUCCAUCCUUUAUUAGUUUCCUACAAAGCAAUGUAAAUGAAUGUAUUUAGUUAAAGAGAGCCUGCUAAGACUUAGAAAGAAAAGAUCAAGUUCUUAUUCAACUUCCCUUUCUUAGUCUUAGUGUUAAGUUGAUACUUCUUUGGAUGGGAAGUCCCUUAAGGGGUUGCCAUCAGUAAUAUCACAUACAACAUCCAAAAAAGCUAAUAAUCAAUUUUCAUAAAUUUCAACACUUCCCAACAACUAUAACAACUUUAUUCAAUUUCCACCAUUUAUUCAAAACACAAUAAUUAAAACCUAAUAAUUGCUACCAAUCACCUAAAACUUAAGGAUUGAAGUACUUAAUUUUGACAUAAUAAUUCAAAACACAAUAAUAGUUGAAAUACCAUUAUUUUUAUACUUAAUUUUGACAUUAAACACACCCUUUAUGACUUAGAAACUAGCUUGAAGUCAUGCUUUUUGCUUAAGUUAAGGAAUAAGAGUUGAAGGUAUUAUGCUUGGUUUUCCUUGUUUUGGCAGGAAUUAACAUGAAUUAGAUGAAGGAAGUUGAAGUAGUAAAGAGUUGGACUUAAGAGGAGAAGGAAAAGUGCAUAAAAGAAGAACUGCAACCACUGUUGGGACAAAUCGGCAAGUGUACCGAGUCACACAAGAAAUAUAAAAUGGUAAGACCAAGUAUGGUAUCCCAGAGGACUUUCGGUGCUAAAUAGUCGUGUGAUAAUGAUAUUAAUUAAGACUUAAAUAAAAAGAGAUCAUUUGUUUUGAAUGCAAAAACAUAAAAUUAAAUAUGAAUGCAAUUGAUCAAUAGCAAAGGAGCACAAAUAUGAACGAAUGUUGAUUAAUAUGAGAUGGAUAUGUUGUUGGGGUUUGAUUUCACCAAGUUCCCUCUCAUGUAUAUAAUAAUUCUUCUUUAUGCAUUAAUACCAAUGCUACUCACUAAAUUACCUAAACCUAAUCCCUCGACGAAUAAGCCUGUCCCAAAUUACCAGUUCAUGCAAUUCCUAGCAUUCCUAGUAAUAAGAUGUGAAGAUCAAGAGCUUAAAGACAACCAAGACUCACACCGUCAUCCCUGAGCAAUAUUACUCUUGGGAGUAAUUCAACAAGAACCAGAAUUGUAAGGAACCUCCCGACACUCGUCUAAUUCAUAAAUCAUCCUAAUGAAUAAGUUAAACACAACAAGCAUUGAAACAGAUGAAUUACUCUAACAAUUAAUGGAAAAGCAUAUGGAAUUAAGAAUCAAUUCAAAUACAUGCGAGUUUACAAGGUUACAUCAGCCCCCAUCAACAAAUAGAAAUUAGUUCCCCAUAGAUAUGGGGGAACUCUAUGAACAAUGGAAGAGAAUGAGAAAGAGAAAGCCUAAGAAUUGGGAAAAGAGUGUAUUGUUAUGCUCUUCUCUGUUAGAGUCGGAAACGUGCAAAAACAAGGCUCAGUCCAAUAGAAUUGAAACUGAGUAGAAAUUGGGCCUGAUCCACAAAACCCGAUGCUUAAGCGCCCCACUUCGGGCGCCCGGGCGGUGAAAACACCUCAUGUAAGGCUUGGGCCUCCACAUAGGGUUUCCACACUUGAGCUUCCAUUCAGGGUGCCCGAGUUUCGUGUUGUCCCUCCUUCUGGUGUUUUUUCAGUCCCUUUUGAGUUCCAUCCUCUUGGCUCUUGAUCUCUGCUUCCAGUAUUACUUCAAUCUCUGUCAAAACAAAGGGAAUUAGUCAUAAAAUCAUUGAAAUCAACGUCAACUCCCUUAUUCACACAACUUAUUGCAAAAUCAUGAGUCCAAGAAGGUUUCUAAGUGAAAAAGGGUGCUUUUAGUAUCAAAAUAGCAUCACAAAUAACUGCAUUUUAAAUCAUUAUCAACCACCGUUGAGCACACUUCCACCGCUGAGUGCCAGCCUCGUUGUAGAGUUCUUUGCACAACGCUUAAGCGCCAACGCUGAGGGAAAAAAAAGUGUCGCAGCCACUGCUGAGUGGCACUUUUACCACUGAGCGCCAGUCUCUUUAGUGAGUUCACUACCAAACUCUUCAGCGUCAAGCUGAGCAUUUUUCCUGAGUGUCGCAUGUACCGUUGAGCAGUAUUUUAGCGCUAAGCGCCAUUUUCGUGAGUCUUGGCCAGUUUCUGCUAACUUUUAUGAACUAUAUAUUGAUUUGCACGACCCAGAGAGGGUAUCUUUUAACAAAAAGAGGUGCAGAAACACUCGGAGGCAGAUUUUGGAUGCAGAAGCUCCAAUCUACAAUUUCUAAGGUUUUAUCUUUCAUUCUUUUCAUUAUUUUCAUCUAGUUUCACCAUGUCUAUGGUGAACUAAACCGUCAUUGUUGUUGGGGAAACGAUGUAAUCCUUUGAAACUCUCAUGUAUUGAAUUGAUCUUGAUUAUAUAUGAUUUACUUUAUUAAUUGUUAGGGUUUUUCCUCUACAGUCUAUGCAUGCUUUGUUUAACACAUUCAAUUGCAUGAUCAUUGAUUUUAUCGAAUUGCACAGUGAAAGAGGAGCUCCACUUCAACAAAAGGGAGUUCUACAAUUUCCAACUCAAGAUUCCUUGCUUGCAUAGAACAAGAUCAUUGUUGGAAAACCAGUGUCCUUCCAAUAAUUCCUACAUACAGUGUCCUUCCAACUCAGGAAGAAAAUGCACUAUAAUGGUUGUGGUUUUUCAACAAGGAAUUUAUAGAAGACCUCCACGUCAAAAAUAUAAAUCUCCUCUCUAACCCUUAACCAAAAUAUAGGUAGUAAACACAGCAAGACAUGUAGUAAGAUGUCCUCUCUCCUGCAAUCUGCCAAUCACCACUUUGAACAAUCCUCAAAGCGAACCAGACUCCAUGAGUCUAUUCCCUGCAAUUGCAACAGGUCCAAUAUAGCAACUCCACAGAUGUUAAACAUAAUCUUGAUCAAACCAGAAACACCUUCAAUGUGCAGAAUGUGAUCAAGCAAUGUGUGUGAUGAAGGUUGAAAAACAGUUAUUUUCAUAUGUCAAUUUGGACCAAAUUACGCCCUUUACUACUCGGAAUGAGCCUAGAAUCAAGCAAAACUCAAUAAAUGAGUCUGUAGAGAGUGAAAAGCUGUUUUUAGUGAUUUUAUGCUUGUUUUGCAUUGUUUUGUAGCUAUUUUGAGAAAAUGAAGAAUGAAGUCGAAGAUACAGGUCGUAGACUCAAGAAAAGAGCAGAAAAAUGAAGAUUUGAAGAGUUGAUGCAGGACGAGGAGUGUCGCCGGGCGGUCCAGGACGAGGAGUAGGCAUGGCGAUUGGCGCUGGGCAGUUAUGAGGGAAACCACCGGGCGGUUUGGAGGAUUAUGGGAAACCGCCGGGCGACACACUUAAACCGUCGGGUGGUGGCUCGCUGGGCUUGGGCUUGUUUUCUGUUGCGCUCCUCACCUUUAAAUACCCCUAUUUCGAGUUCAGAGUUAUUCUUUUGACAGGGGUGAAUGGCCAGACCUAGUUUUGCUCUCUGGAGAGGAUCUCUUGGAUGCUUAGGCUCCUUUUCAUCUUUUCUAGGGUUUGCUCUUCCAUUCUUCUUCCAUUUCUCAUCUAGUCUCACCAUGUCUAUGGUGAACUAAACCCCAUUGUUGUUGGGGGAAACAAUGUAAUCUUUUGAUACUCUUUUUUAUUAAAACUCUUGAUUAUUUUUAUGGUCUCCAUAUGUUUUGAUUGAUAAUUGUUGGGUUAUCAUCUGUGCUUAAGGCCUUCAUCGUUUAACUCAUUCGGUAACUGAUGUUUGUCUUUAUUGAUAUGGGGACGUACAAUAAUGACAUGAACUGGUGAGUAAUUUCUUGAUUUUGCAAUACCACCUAGGGAUAGGGGUAGGACGAUCAAUUGCGCUAACUUCUGUUUAUAAUGCGGUAUUAAUUGCUACGGGAGCCUAGGGAUAGCAAGCCAGUAGUUAAUAUUAGGCUCUUUUCACCGAGGGAUCGGGUUAAGGGGAGGCUAAAAAAGUCGCAUAACAAUUAAUUAAUCAAACUAAUAUUCAAGAGGAGUAGGUAAGAGAGAGCGGAUUAGAUGAAAUUGUAAAUCCCAAACAACAUCCAUUCAUCCAUUGUUUUCUUUUGUCAAUUGAAUCAACUCUAUUUUGCAAGUUAAUAUUUUUGUUCUCAAAUCCAAUUUAUUAAUUUUUAUUUGCAAGUCUUAUUAUUUUAAUUCAAGCGAACGAGAAAGCUAUUCGAGUCUCUUGGGAAAACGAUACUUGGUCUUACCAUUUAUAUUACUUGUACGAUUUGGUACACUUGCCAAUCCGUCAACAGUAUGCACAGUCAGACUCCUUUUGAAUCUCUUUCAAGAAAGAUCACCACCCUCUUCUUGGAGAAUUCUUGGAGCUCUAAUUACCAGAGAUAUCAAUCUGAAACAAAAAUGAAAUUGUUAUAUCAUCAAAAGUCUCUGAACAACUUCGUGCUUAGCCAAUUUAUAGAUUUCUAUUUAACAGACAUUCUCUGAAUCGAGUAAGCUACUAAUUCAGUCGACUGAGUUAUGACAAUUAUAACAGUUCAAUCAAAAUAGUAGCAUUCAGUCAACCAAAAUAAAAACUAUUUUAAUACAUUUGACCAACUAUUCAAUGCUCAACUAACUUUUGAAAAUAUAGCCGUUAUAGUGCAAGAGCAUAACAAAAUUUCAAAACAGACAACUAAUGCAGUCGAGUAUGUGGCGCAUACAGUCGACUUUGACAAGUAAGAUCAUUUUGAAAUUAUUUUCUUCUGAAAAUCUCACAAAGUACUGAUUCUCAAAAUUUGUACAAAGACUUUAGUAUAGUCGAAUAAUAGUCGAAUAAUUUUAUGAUGUGGUCGACUUUACUGCAGCUUUGUCACACAGUUAUAAGUUCACAAAAGUGUUUGUGGUUUUCGUGCAUAAAAGCAUGUGCAAUGCAUCCCGAAAUGAUGUAACAAGAACAAGCUCAAUAUGUAUGCUUUCACAUAGCAGUACAGCACAUAAACAUGUUCAACAGAUAUAUCAAACAUUCAACAUAAGAACAUGUAACACAACAACAACAUAUGUGUGUUAUUAAGCAAUGUGUUGUCAUCAUAAAAAAUCAUAGUGAUAUAGAUAUUGUGUUGUCAGCAAUCUCAACAAUCUCCCCCUUUUUGAUGAUGCACAACCAUGAUUAAUAACCAACCAUGUUUGUACAAUCAAAUUCAAAAUAGAGUAGCAAAAGAUAUAACGUAGUUCAAAUACUCUGUAUGCAACAUAACCAGACAACAAAAUAUCAAGCAGAAUAUGAGAUAGAAAAACAUUUUCCCCUUUUCAUAAAGCUUUACUAAAUUCUUUCCCCCUUUGUGCAUGAACAUAAAAUGAAUGCUCUAGAUAUUUAUGCUGAUAUUCAAACAGAGAUGCAUUAGAAAUAAAAUAUGCAAUUUCUUAAAAUGUAAUGAUGCUCUCCUUAUCACAUUUAAUCACAUGUAAAAGAUAACUCCCCCUGAAAUGCAAGCAUGUGAAGAAAAAUGUAUAAAAAGAUGUAAUACUUGUUGAGAUUAUUGACAACACAAACUCUAUAUCGAUCUAGUUUCUGAUGAUCACAACACAAUGCUUAAUAACAGUACACAUGUUGCUGCAUUACAUGUUCUUAUUCUGAAUUGGUUGUCAUAUCUGCUGAACAUGUUUUGAUGUACUGUGAUGUAUGUUCUUAUGUUGAAUGUGUGAUAUAUUUUUGGAACAUGCUUGUAUGAUAAUGUGCAGUAAAAUAGCUUUGAUAACAGUACACAUUUUAUGGCACAUUUUUGGAAGUGAAAAAUCACGAGCACGUUUAUGAACUUAUAAUUGUGUAACAAAGUUCUAAUCCAGUCGAAUACAUCUAUAAUGGAUUCGACUAUUCUAAUGCCUUUGUACAUAUUUUGAGAAUCAAUGCUCUAUGACGUUUUGGAUAGAAAACAAUUUCAAAAUGUUUUUACAUGUGUCAGUUGACUUUGUCCAGUGUACAUUCGACUAUAUCUUUGAUCUGUUUUGGAAUUUUGUUAUGCUUACACGAUCCAACGGCUAUAUUUUCAAAAGUUUGUUAAGCAUUGAUGACUUGGUCAACUGUAAUGAAUGUGUGUUGAUUUUUGUUGACUGAGAGCCUUUAUGUUGACUGUCUGCUAUAACUGUAAUAAUACAAUCGACUGAAUUAGUAGGCUAUUCGACUGAGAAACAAUCUGACUCACAAAAAACUAUAAAUUGACUGAACACGAUUUGUUCAAGAAACUUUUGAUACUUUGACAUUUUCAUUUCUUGUUUCAGAUUGAAUUCUCUAUGUUAACAGAUCCAAGAAUUCUCCAAGAAGACUGUGGUGAUCUAUCUUUAGAGAGAUUCAAAGGGAGGAGUCUUAUGCGCUGACUGUGUGAUCAUUAUCUGCACAAAGAAGAUGCUUCUUGAUUGAUCGAUUGAAGGCUUGGCAUCCUGUGAAGACUGCUGCAUUGAUUGAAGGCUUGGCAUCUGAUGAGUCAAUGUUUUCUCUACUUUACUUAGUUUAUUGCACUUAAAUAAAUCAGGGAAUUGUGCUUAAUUGUCCGUUAUUUCUCCGUUUUUCUUAAUUCUGCUUAAUUUGGUCGGAAAAUCACAUUUUCACUAAUUUGAAUUUUCUGAGCAAAUUAAUUGCAUUUUUAAUUGUAGGGAAAAUAUUGGAGACAUAUUUUGGAGCAUUAGGAGGUGGCGUGGACAUUCAAGAUUCAACAUUUAGUCAUUGAAAAUUUAAUAAAAAUUGUAAUCUAGUUGACUAGGAACUUUAAUUAAGCUUUUGGUGCAUUGGGCCAAUGUUGGCAAAUUUUAUGAUGGGCCCAAACUUUGAGGGACAUGUGUCACCAAACCCUAGGGUUUCUUAGAGGUGGACCCCACCAAUUUUGGAGGCUUGGGCGGUUUUAGAAGAGAAAUGUCAAGACACACUCUAGCACACUUCAUACUCCACUUUUCAUUUUUCAGUUUGCAUGUAUGAACUCUCUCUUGGAGACCAUGUAGGGUUUUACGUUUUUGGAGCUAUGGAAUGACCAAGAUCAUAUUUUUCUUCUUCUCUUACUUAAAUCUUGUUUAUCUUUGCUUGGUGGAAGUGAAUCCCUCACCCAAUUUCCUUUCAUUUCUUCUUGAAAGUUGAGAGCAUGAGCUUGAGUCUUGAGGUGGUUUCUUGCAUUUUUCAUGAUGGUUCUUGAGUUUGAAUGAAAGUCUAUUUCGUUUUCCUCUUCAUUUGCUGCAAUACUCACGGUUUUCAUUUCAUUUUACUUGGUUGGAUAAUGAAAAUGGAGUUCUUGUUGAGGUUUGGGUUGAAGGAAGCUUAAGUUGAUGUGUGGGUGUUGUGGUUUGGACUCUUUCUUCUUGUUUUUCGGUUUUAAUGUUUGAAGCAAGAUUACAACCAGAAUUUUGUGUUGUUUAUGGUGGCUGGACGUGCUGGACUUCAAGGGUAGGGAUUCAUUUUUGUUUUUUACUAAAAGCUUGAAGAAAUGGGAAGGUUUGGUUGGGUCAAAUGAGUAGAAGUUUGAGUUNAUCAUUCUUGUGUUAAUUUGGCAUUUGAACUUUGGUCUCUUGGGUGUAUGUUCGGUGGAAUGGAGGAAGAAAACAUGAAUGGUGUGUGUUGGUAGAAGAGAAAAACCGAAAAUGGAGAAAGGAAGGAGGAGAGAAGGUGCAUUUAAGUUUUUACCAUUUUUGGGCAAACACAUAUGAUGCUUGUUUUGACUAAGGGAAUGUUUCCACUUUUGGCUUUGUCUCCUGAACAUGUUUUUGCUGAGAAUUGAUAUGGUGAAGGGAGAUGUUUGUGUUUGAGUUUUUCAAUUGUCUUUGCUUACAUGGCACUUUGACUAAUGCAUUCAAGGUAUCUUUCAUUUGGCCUUGGUUUUUGAAACACUCUUUGCUACCUCAUGUUGUAUCUCUUGGGAAUUUGUGUGUAUUGGAGUGUGCUACCAGAUUUUGCUGCAUGGAAGGGAUAAAGUGACGGUUUUGGUGUGUAGAAAGGCACAUGUGUGUUGUCUUCAAAAUUGGAGCAGAUGGAAAAAAGGAGGCAACAGAAGAAUAGUUUAUUGAAGAUUGAAUUGAAGUUUGACUUUAGGAGGCUAUAUGACUCACGCACAAGAGGUCUUCUUAGGCCAUUUUCAUUUUCAAUUUCUUUAUUUGGUGCACACUUGGUCACAUGAAUUGCUAGAAAAAAGUUGUGUUUGCUUAUUUCUUUUGUUUUGAAUUAGUUUGCAUAAUAGGAUUAGUUGUUUUUCAUUUCUUUGAUGCAGUUUUGCAUUUGAUAAUUUUAAUUAAGCUAGAUAUUUGUUUGUCACAUUGUUGGGGUCUAGUAUUUUAAUUUAUUUCAAUGUUGUCUAAGGUUUCUAGUUGUGUUAAUUUAAUUUCCAUGGUAGCUUAAAUUAGUUUGGUUGGUCAUUGACGAUAUUGCACUGUUUCCUUGAGAUUCUUNACUGUUUCCUUGAGAUUCUUGAAUUGUGAUUGUCUGUGCACUCUNNCUNGGUUAAUGUGAAUUCUAUUUUUGCACUUGCAAUUGGGUAUAGGCUUAGUUGCCUAGUUGGUGUUACAUCUUCGCUUAGUUGAUAUAACUUAAUGGUGUAAUUUAGAUUUGAUAUUAACAUUAUGUUCGCUUUUAUGAAAACGGGGUUAACCUUCGCUUAGUUGGUUAACUUUGUUGGAUUAGAGGUUUGAGUCGCAACUUUAUUUUGUUGAUCUGUGAUUGGAAACAUUGUAAUUAAGUUAAUGACCAACCGUUUUUAUUCUGUAUGUGAUUUCGUUUUGCAUUUCUAUAUUCAUAUUUCUAUUUGCAUCCGUGUUUUAAUUUAAUUCAUCGCAUUCACAAACUUUUCAACAAAACCCCUCCCCCACUUCGUGUUUGACCUAAUUCUCGAACCACAUUUGGUCCUUGAGAGACGACCUAGGAGUCAUUCCUAGCUAUACUGCAUUCUUUUAUGCUCAUCAAAUUUGUGUGGGUUGCGACAGCCCAUCAGCAUCCUGUGAAGAGUGCUGGAAUUGACCUGUUAGGUUACACAUUGAGGAUUGUUCGACGUGGGUUCAGAUUGCAGAAGAGGGGAUUCUUGUUGCAAUUUUGGUUUUGUUGUGCAACUAUAUUUUGGUUUUGGAUUAGAAAGGAGAUUUAUAUUUUUGCGUGAGGCUUCUAUAAAUUCCUUGUUAUAAAAACCGUAACCAUUAUAGUGCAUUUGUUUCCUGGGUUGGAAGGAAACUGGAUGUAGGCAUUGUUGGCCGAACCAGUAUAAAAACUAGUGUUUGAUUUUCUCAAUCCCUACACUCUUUAUUUCAGUCGACUAUACUUGUUACGCAGUCAACUACGUUUUUUCGCUGCAUAGAAAUUUUCAUUACUUACAUUUCAAGAAAGUUCAAAAAGCUUUAUACUUUUGUUUCAAGAUUGUGAAAAGAUUUUGUUUAUGAACUAAAACCAAUUCACCCCCCUCUUGGUGUAAAACGAAGCCUACCUGUUUCCUAACAAUACUCCCCCUUUCAUUAUGCAUAGAUAUCAAAACCAGAUCAGAUGCACAAUGCAAUACAGAUAAUCAGAGUAUACAAUCAAUAUAGCAUAUAGUUGUAUCAAAGACAAGAUAUCAAACAAAUCAGUCAUGCAAUGAUACAAACUUCAACAAUCUCACAAUAUUAUCUCAAUCAAGAUAUGCAGAAUCAAUUAAGAUCAUAGAUAAUUGCAGAUAAUCAAGAUCAAAUACUCAAUCAACGAAAUAUAACCAAAUUCCAAAAUUGGAAUUUAUAACCCUGUUAUGAGUAGUCGAUUGAAUUAAUUUCCAAUCGAAUACAUUGCUUCUCAAUGAUGUUGAAUUCCACUUGUAGUUUCCAAAGCAAUGUUUUUCCUGCAAAACCUUUCAAAGAUCUUCUGUAGAUCAAGCAUUUUAGUUAUGCAAGAAAUAUAAUAAAAAAUCAGAAGUCAAUAUGUAAAGAUGUGUAACAGAUCAAGCAUAAUCGACUCCAAUCAUAUCACAGUCGAAUCGAUCAAUAUUCAGCACAACAGAUUUUAAUCAAUCAAAUUAAAGCAGCUAAAAUUGAUUAAAACCAAAAUUUUAUUUCCUUGUUAAAAUGAUAUUACAUUCAUAGACACAAACAAGGAACAAAAUAGAAAGAUGGCAAUCUAAGGCAUACUCAAAAAGAGACAAAAUAAUUCUUGAGACUCAAACACUGCAGAGCAGCCAAAACUUUAUUCAGAUUCAAAUGACCCUGUGGAACUUUCUUCACUUAUGUCGUCAACAUCUUCUCUAAAAGAUGCUUCUGAGAAGGAGGAAAUGUCAAUGUAGUGCUUGAAGAUUUCAUCCAUUUUCUCGUGCAGAGUAGAUAAAGUUCUCUUUAGCAAGUUUAUUCUUUUGUUUGCACAAUCACGUCGAUGUCUUACAUGCCUUUGAAACUCAGAGUUUAAAGGAGGAAGUUCUUGAUCACUAUCAGAAUCAGGCAAUGUCCCUUUUCUCUUUGCUGAGUCAACCUCAUAUCUGAAAUACCAUCCACGAUCAGUUUUCUUGAGUCCAAUGCAAGUUAAAGUAGCUUUCCCAAUAAGAUUUUCUUUGCUCCAAGAGAGUUUCUUUUCUCCUGAUAGGUUAACACCACUUUUUUCCAACACUUUGCUUAUGAAUACACCAUAAGGUAGCUUAUGCCAAUCAUUGAUCUCAACAUCAAGAAUGUGCCAUUUGAAUACAGCUACCCAGUUUGUUGGUAUCCUUUGCAUAAUAUCAUUUAGUAGACAAACAUCCCUCGAAGUUAGCUUGAUCAGAUUUGGUCUUCCAGGUAGCAAGAUAUGACCAAUAAUAAAAGUAAUGAUUUUCUCUUCCCUUUCAAGCCAUUUGAACAGAAAUCAUUCCUCUUUCCUGUAUCUUCCACGAUACCUCAUACAAUUUUUAAACAUUUCUGUUUUCCUAAUUAUCUGAUUCUAUCGACAGUUGAUAAUGGUCUAAAAACCAUUAUUUUCAUGCUUAAAUUUGAUAUCAAAACACACCCUUUAUGGCUUAGAAUGAGCUUAAAAUUAAGUAGAACAAUUAGUUGAGUCACAUGAGAGUUAAAAGUUGUUUUUAGAAUAUUAUGCUUGUUUUGCAUUAUUUUGCAAGGUUUUGAUGAGAAUUGAAGAUGGAAGUGAAGUAGGAAGGACUUAGACUCAAGAAAGAAGGAGAAAAAGGAAGAAAAGAAGAAUCAAUGCACCGCUCAGUGUCAAAUUCCAGCGCUGAGCGCUAGACUCGAGGGAGCAGUCAUUGCCUCUCACUCAAGUAGUGUCGCUGAGCGUUCAGGCGAUUAGAGGGAAACCGCUAAGCGGUUAAAUUUGACGCUGAGCGGUUGUCUACUGAGCUUGGGCUUAAAUUUUUAUGAUUUAUAAAUACCCUCAGUGCGAUUCUGAGAGUAUUCUUUUGGCAAGCAGAGAAGUCCAAACCUAUUCUCCACUCCUCGGAGACAAUUUCUUGGAUGCUUAGGCUCCAAUUCAUCAAAUCUUGGGUUUACUUUUCCAUUCUUUGAUUUAAUUCCAUCUAGUUUCACCAUGUCCAUGGUGAACUAAACCCUUUGUUGUUGGGGAACAAUGUAAUCUUUUGAAACUCUCUUAUAUUGAAAUUCUUGUUUUAUUCCUAUGCUUGCAUAUGCUUAUAUUAUCAAUUAUUGGGUUUCUUAUCUAUGCUUAAUGCUUCUAUCGUUUAACUCAUUCGGUAAGAUGAUAUUUGCCUUUGUCGAUAUGGGGACGUAUGGGGAAGUCAUGAACUGAUAGGAGAUUCCUUGAUUAAGCAAUACUGCCUAGAGAUAGGGGUAGGACGAUCAAUUGUAUUUUGCUUCUGUAAUAUAAUGCAUUGCUAAUUACUUAGGGAGACUAGGGAUAGUAAACUAGUGGUUAGUAAUAGGCUCUUUUCGCCGAGGGAUCGGGUUUAGGGUAGACUAAGAAAGUUUGCAUGACAAUUACAUAAUAAAGCGAAUUUAAUAAGAAAAGUAUAUAUAAGAGAGUGGAUAAGAUGAAAUUGUAAACCCCAACAACUUCAUUCAUCCAUAUCUUUUCCUUACCAAUUGAAUCAAUUGCAUGUGCAUGUUUAUUUUCGUUCUUUGCAUUCUACCACAAAUGUAUUUCUUUACAAGUCUUAUAAGAUCAAAUUACAUGAAAGAUAAGGCCUAAGAGUCCUUUGGGAGAACGAUACUCGGACUUACCGUUUAUAUAUUACUUGAUAACGAUAUGGUACACUUGCCAGGGGCUUAAUAAAUGUAAUGCAUGAUUAAUUGCUAGGGAGACAAGACAUUGUAAACUAGUAUUUAGGAGUAGGCUCUCUUCACCGAGACAUCGAGUUUAGGGUAAAUUAGAAAGUGAAAUUGACAUUAAUAAAGGAGUUGAAUUCAUAGAUACAUGAGAGUGGAUAGGAUAAAGUCGGAAACCCCAACAACAUAAUUCAUCCAUAUAUCAUUCACCUGCGUAUUCUUUGGUUAAUUGAUCACAAUGUGCAUCCAUGUUUAUUUUCUGUUUUGCAUUCUAAACCUAAUUUUCGUUUCUCAAGUCUUAUGUAAUCAACAAAUCACAUGACUGUUUAGGCCAAUGAGUCUCUAGGGAAAACGAUACUUAGUCUUCCCAUUUAUAUUACUUCAUACGAUUCGGUACACUUGUCAAAGUCUUAACAAGCAUCAUAUUAUCACUUAAUAAAAAAGACAUCUAAAUAUCUAAUAAUCAUUCAAAUUUGACUUUCAUUCUCAACAAUCAUCAAUUUCAAAUAUUCAAAAUAUGCAUAUAAUACAUAUUUUUACUUAAAAUAACCACUUUAAUUAUCAAUGCAAUAAAAGAUCAUCAUAGUUCUACAUUGAGAGUUUAACAAUACAAUAUCAAAAAUAAAUUUUCCUUUUUGAAGAGAAACAUGUAAUAAAGUUUGUUAUUAACAUCAUAAUUUAUUAUAUAAAGUUAUUUAAUUAUAAUUAUUACACUAGUAAAAACCGAGCUUUUUCAGCGAUAUAUAAGAUUUGUUUUCGUAAGAACCGAAGCAUAUAAAAACAUGGUGGCAUUUUAAUAGUUAUGGCGACAUUAUAUGCCUCAUUUCAUUGGGAAUCGAUGCCUAAAGGGUAUACUGACUCGGUUAAAUAGGCAACUGAGGCAUAACUCCCUUUGUCAACCACCUGCCUAAUCUGCAAAUCAGACUUUUCGUUUCCUAGCCUCUUUGGGAAAAAGCUUCAGCCUCAGUUCCCUGACCAACCGAGGCAGAAAACUCUACUACAUCCCUUUGCAAACACUGCUUUCCACUGAAAAAUCUCAAAACAAGGCAUACUAAGGCAGUAUCUCCUGCCAAAACCAGGCAUCCUUUGAAACAGAACGUUCUAAUUCAUUUUGUCCAACCUCUAUUGGCUCGGUUAGUUGUGAGCCAAUCCUGUAUAGGUUUUCUGCCUCGGUUUAACUGCGAACCGAGGUGUAUUCGUUGAAUAUAAUUUAAAAAUUGUCAUUUCCUGUUUCAUUUUGAUUUUUUUUAAUGGUUUAGGCAUUGUUGACAAAUUGGGAAGUGUACCAAAUCGUACAAGUAAUAUAAAUGGUAAGACCAAGUAUCGUUUUCCCAAGAGACUAGUAUCGCUUCCUCGUUAUUAAAAUAAUAAGACUUGAAAAAUGAAAAUUAAUAAAUUGGAUUUGAGGAUAAAAAUAUUAACAUGCAAAAAUAAAGUUGAUUCAAUUGACAAACGAAAACAAUGGAUGAAUGGAUGUUGUUGGGGGUUACAAUUUCAUCUAUUCCACUCUCUCUUACAUACUACCCUUGAAUAUUAGUUUGAUUGAUUGUUAUGCGNNNNNNNNNNNNNNNNNNNNNNNNNNNNNNNNNNNNNNNNNNNNNNNNNNNNNNNNNNNNNNNNNNNNNNNNNNNNNNNNNNNNNNNNNNNNNNNNNNNNNNNNNNNNNNNNNNNNNNNNNNNNNNNNNNNNNNNNNNNNNNNNNNNNNNNNNNNNNNNNNNNNNNNNNNNNNNNNNNNNNNNNNNNNNNNNNNNNNNNNNNNNNNNNNNNNNNNNNNNNNNNNNNNNNNNNNNNNNNNNNNNNNNNNNNNNNNNNNNNNUUAAGCACAGAUGAUAACCCAACAAUUGACAAUCAAAACAUAUGGAGACCAUAUAAAUAAUCAAGAGAUUCAAUAAGAGAGAGUAUCAAAAGAUUACAUUGUUUCCCCCAACAUCAAUAGGGUUUAGUUCACCAUAGUCAUGGUGAAACUAGAUGAGAAAUGGAAGAAGAAUGGAAAAGCAAACCCUAGAAAAGAUGAUAAGGAGCCUAAGCAUCCAAGAGAUCCUCUCCAGAGACCAAAAUUAGGUCUGGCCGUUCUCCCUUGUCAAAAGAAUGAUUCUGAAAUUGCAAUAGGGGUAUAUAUAGGUGAGGAGCGCGUCAAAAAAUGGACCCAAGUCCAGCGAGCCACCGCCGGGCGGUUUAAGUGUGCCACCCAGCGGUUUGCCAUAAUCCUCCAAACCGCCCGGUGGCAAUCGCCACCGCCGGGCGGUUUCGCUCAGGUCCCCCCAGCGUCAAUCGCCAUGCCUUCUCCUCGUCCUGGACCGCCCGGCGGCACACUUAAACCGCCGGGCGGUGCAUCGACUCUUUAAAUCUUCAUUUUUCUACUCUUUUCUUGAGUCAACGACCUAUAUCUUCAACUUCAUUCUUUACUUUUCUCAAAUUAGCUACAAAAUAAUGCAAAACAAGCAUAAAAUCGCUAAAAACAACUUUUGACUCUCUCAAGACUUUUUUAUUGAGUUUUUCUUGAUUCUAAGUUUAUCCCGAGUAGUAAAAGGUGUAAUUUGGUGUUUUUCAACCUUCAUCAACACCCCAAACUUAGAAUUUUGCUUGUCCUCAAGCAAAACAAAACAAAACAACACAUAAAAUGAAAACUUGGCUUUAUACUAUUUCAUCCAAUGCCUCAACAAUCCCAAGGUACAUGACAAAACUACUCAACUCAAUAUCCUCAGUGAAAUCCAAAAUAAGGUGCAUGCAUGCUUUCAACCCAGAGAUUGCACAUUAGAUGUUAUACACUAUGAAUGAUCAAUCCACUAAGCAAAAAUGUACUCAUGAAAAUUAACAAAUCAUACCAAGCAAGUGUUUCACUCAAUCACUCAAGUGCUUUAGGUGACACUCCAACUCUCAAGUAUUCACAAGUCGCAUGAAACAAAAUUGCCAUUCAUCUAAAACAAUCAACAUCUUUACAUGCAAAUGCCAUCAAAAGGACUUUUCCAAGGCUUGUAAUGAGGUUGGGCUAACAAGAAANAAUUGGUUUUUCUAGAAUGCAAAAUCCUUGAGUCAAGAGAGCUAACAAAAUAUUCAACAUUUAAGCACAACUCUUUCACCAAUAUCUCUCAUUCCCAACUUCUUCCCUUUUCUUUUCUUUUUCAUUGAUCUCAUCUUCAUGCUUUUCUUCUUUUCUUUUCUUUUUCUCAUGAAUUUUUCUCUUUUCACCACAAUUGAGCUCAAUGCCUUUUACUUGCCUUUUCAAUUUUCCCCCGUACAACCCCAAACUUGAACCUUUUCAUCACAUACAAUUAAGCUCAUCCCAACUCAAGGUAAAGAAUUUCAUCAAGGUAAAGAAUUUCAAAACAAGGGUUCACAUCCUGUUUAAGGCUAAGGUUCAAAAAGGGUAUAAUAUUUCAAGCACUUUGGGUGAAAAUUUGUCUAGAGAAGGGUUUUCAAAAAUGGCCUUGAUCAUAUGACAUUCACAUGCAAUUCAAUCAAUCAUCAAGAUUAAAGCAAUAUCAUCCAUAUUUUCCUGUGAACAAUACAUGCAACAAUAAAAACUCUGGAGCUCAAAAUCUCACACACAUGCUUCCUCACACAAAAUUCAUUCAUACACCAUGCCUAGCAUCAUGACCACACUCUUAAAUUCAUCACCCAUCUAUUUCCUGGAUAUCAACAUGCAUUACAACUCAAUUCUCAUCCACCUCAAAUAAUCAUCAAAUUGCCCCAUCAUACACAACAGUCAUUCAAACAUUUUCAGAAAAAGUAUUCAAGCCAAGAGUACACACCAAAACAAAAAUACAACCUAUUCUAGGAAUUUAAAUUGCAAAAGUGUAAGAAGAAAUUCUAGGUUGCCUCCUAGUAGCGCUUGUUUAACGUCGCGAGCCUGACCCAAACCUGGUUGGCACUUGUCAGUAAGUGCACUUCCUUCCAUCACCCAUCAGUAGGUGUACCUUCCAGAUAUCCAUCAGUGGAUACCAAAAAAAUUUAGCAUCCCUCAGUAGAUGCUACCCAAAAAUUGUUCAGAAAAUUCAAAAAGUACGUGUUCCAACCAAAAUAAAACAAAAGAUUGAAAAAGAAAAUUGUUCAAUAAAAUACAAAAUUUGAUUUCCAACAAAUUCAGCUCUUCUUCUUCACGCUGGGAUCUUCAUCAUCCCACCAGCUCACUUUUCUCCGAUCCACCUUCUUGAUCACUUUUGAAUAAGGUCUUUGAAUCUCCACCAUUCCGUCAUCUCUCAAUCUCCUAUUAACAAUCCAUUUCUUAUCUUUGAAUCGCACUAACAAACCCCGCAAGAACGAUGUCUCCUCUAAAGAGGUUGAUUGCUUCUUGCACAUCGUCCCUUUAUCAUGAAUCUGCAAAACAUUACAAUUGUAAUGAAAAUUAAUACCUGUGGAUUUGUCUUCCUCUGCAGCUUCACUUUUGGCUCUCUUAUACUUGAAUUUCCUAACUACCCUCUGUACAGUUUCUUUAGAGCCAUAAAGCAACACUCUAUCAUAAUCCUACAUCUACCGAUUCUGCUUUUGAAGAUGCUUCUUCUCCGGAGAGGCUUCCUCCGUCCAGGGAAGCUCCUCCUGCAGGGGUUGUGCCUACCACCGGCGGCAACGGUAGUGGUUCCCAGGCGUAACUUCCCGCCAUUGAUGCUUAUCGGAUUUUCCACGGGGUCCCCCUUUUUUUAUUGCAAGGUGGGGUGGAAGUUGACCCGGUUUCUCUGGUUCCGGUCAGGAGUCUACCGUCGGUCAGUGUUAUGAUUGGGCCGGCUUCGAUGUAAAUACGCAAGUGUCCGCCCUCUCGCGCACAAGCCUUAGGGACUUCGUUGACCGAUCCUACCUGGUAAGGGAUGAGGCUGACGCCCUGUUGAUACGGCUAGCGGUCGGUCGCGAGAACGAGCGCGUGUGUCACGGGAAAGGUUCCAGUGUGGAGGAUUUUUUCUUCGUCUAUGCAACUUUUUUCGACCAGUUACAUAUUCGAAUUCCUUUCAUUAACUUCCAAAUGGGUGUGCUUCGGGCUUUAAAUGUAGCACCUACACAACUCCACCCGAAUGCAUGGGCGGCGAUUCAAUCGUUCGGUAUGAUGUGUCUGGCAGCGGGUGUGAUACCACCGUUCCCGCCUUCCUUUACUAUUUUGACGUCCAUCCUCCCCGAAGGGGGGUUGGGUUUCUUUGACUUCUGUGACGGAUCAGACAUUGUUCAAGCCAUAUUCCAAGUCCUACAAGAAUUUUAAAGAUCAGUUUUUUAAGAUAAUUAUCACCGAGACCAGGCGUCGUGAUUUCUUCGAUGAGGAAGGGUCUCCCCUUUUCCCUCUAUACUGGACGGAGAAUCCGACGAAAAUGAAGGCCUAUGUCAAGCAUGAUUUAGAUAUUGCCGAUCUUUGCGUCAUCGAUCUCAUCGAUACUCUUCCACGCCGCCUCCCCGCCCGCAACUUGGUUGACUGCCUUCCUUUCGAGGACUGUAGCCGGAGAGCACUCGGUAUGGUAUUAGUUCGGUUUGCAAUUUAUUGUUAAAGUGAUUACUUAACUGAAUUUGUUGCCUUCUUUCAGAUAUCAUGGCCGCUCCGAAUGCCCGAUAAUCCAACUUCCUAUUUGCUAAGAGGGGUCUUCUGCCGCGCCCUCAACUGCCAUAAAUAGUGGUCUUCCCCCCCCCCCCCCCAAAACGCCCUCUUCCAAUCGGCCGAGUAACCGUCGCAACUGUUCGGCCUCUGACUGGUGAGCUCAUUCCUGGGGGCGUAUCGGUGAAGAAGAAAACGAGUCUGCCUGGAGGUUCUCAACCUCUGGCCGGAGAGGGAACCUCCAAUCCCCUUACAAUCCCUAGUACUACAAGGGUUUCUCCUGCCGCAAGUACGAAUCCUCAUAUCGAGGCGGCGUCUCAGUCGGCUCCGACUGUAACACCCGCGCCGACUCGCAAGAGGAGAAGAUCUCGCAAGGAGGGGGACAAGACAUCCUCUAAGAGGAAUCGCCGAGAAAGCAGUGAGUCGUCCGUUCUCCUUCUAGGUGGUGUGUUUAGUAAUGACUAUAGUGUUGGUCGGCAUGUGGACUUUCAUAUGGGACCCGCCCAACGGGCUAUUUUGGAAUCAAUGUCCGGCCCCGUCUUACUAGAUGCCAGUUUUGAAAUGUCGAGCCGAACCGCCUCGAUAGUGGGCUUUCUCUGAGAAUUUGGUGACAUCCGAGGGUCGGGUGAAGUGAAGGUGGCUUUACUGAAGGAGUAAGAGAAGGUGGCUCUACUGAAGGAGUAAGAGAAGGUGGCGGCCCUUGAAGCGGAUUUAGAGGCUUUGUGCAAGAGCCGCGAGGAAGAUGGGAAACAGUCGGUCGAAGUUCGCCAGGAGCUUACUGAGACUUCAACCAAGCUCAAAGGGACGACUCGCGCACUGAACUCCGACUUGACUGUGGAGUGUAAUCAAUUGAAGGAGGCGGCUGUUGAACAGAGGGAAGUCGAGAGGAGCCUCCAAGAGAGGACCGUCGAGUUGCAGACCAACCUUGAUGCCGUCCGGAUGGAUGUAAAGACCGCGCGGUAGAAAAUCUCAGAACUUAAUACUAGCGUGGUAACGGAGCAUGAGGAGGGAUUCUACAAGGCCCUACGAUAGGCAGAAGUCCUUCUCAAGAUAGAGAAACCUUUAGACCUCGGUUUCGAUCUUGAGAAGGAUGUGUGUGACGGGGUGUUGACCUACGUAGGCCCCCCGUCCAUUCUGGUAGUUGUCAUUGUUGAAACCGAGGUGAGGGCUGAUGAACCGGCGACUAAUCCGGAAGGUGCAGGGGGAGACAAUACCAAUGCAUAGUUUUUACUUGUUUUUCUUUACAUAUUUCGUAUAUUGAGGAUGGAUAAAUUAUUUUUUGCAUCGCGUAGCGGCCAGUAGGUAAACAGUUUAAAGCUGUUUACCUAGCUGUCCGUUUUCUUUUUUGGCAUUCGACUUGUAUCGAUCAUUAUCCCCUCCUUUUGGCUUAAUGAAAUCAAUCGUUCUUAUUUCUCAUUCGCUAGAGGUGUUCAUUUUGUAUACACAUACUAUUAUUUUUUGUUGGGGAUUAACGAAAGACUAUGCCUCGUUGUUUAUUCGAAUCGGGUUUUGGUGCGAGAAGUUGACAAGCAGUUGCUGUAACGCCCCGGCAACUUACAGGGACUGUUGACUGCCCCCACACAUCACCACAAGACUUUCCAGUGUGCUUUGUCCUCACUCGCACACUUUCCGGGAAAACUUCCCAGAAGGUCACCCAUCCCAGAAUUUCUCCAGGCUAAGCACGCUUAACCAUGGAGUUCUUAUGGGUUAGGCUUCCGAAAAGUAAAUGCAUUUUGGUGAUAUGGGUAGCCAAUUCAAUUCCUUUAAGCCAUCCUUCAACUGUAUAGUCCCAUACCUAUACAGUCUCCAGAUCCCUCUCAUUCCGGUGUAUGUUCGAUUCGUCCAUGUGCCCCUUCCACUCGAAGCCUGCCAGGAGCCGCUCCUUGUCUGUGCCCCCUGCACCAUGCUUCUUGCACUGGCGAUCACUCCCCGCCCUCGUCAGUGCCCGGGUGUCACAUGCCCACCAGCUUCCGUCUGGUUCGUCCUCGAACCACACCGUACUGGGAGAGGCUAGGCUCUGAUACCAUUUGUAACACCCCGACAACUUACAGGGACUGUUGACUACCCCCACACAUCACCACGAGACUUUCCAGUGUGCUUUGUCCUCACUCGCACUUCCCGGAAAGUGUGCGAGUGAGGACAAAGCACACUGGAAAGUCUCGUGGUGAUGUGUGGGGGUAGUCAACAGUCCCUGUAAGUUGUCGGGGUGUUACAGUUGCCCUUCACCACCCGGGCGGUUGGGUGAGAUUUCCUUAGCGUUUUUGCAUUUUGCUGACCGUCUAUUAUGUCGACGGAAUAGUUCCGUUUACUAACUUUUUUUGAUAGGACUAAGUCGUUCAAUGCUCGGUCAAGUUGAUAGGAUAACUCUGUUCAUCAACUUGCUUCGUGUGGGGUCUGUUGGCUUAUGCCUUUCACCGUCCGGUCAAGUUGAUAGGACGGAUCCGUUCAUCAACUUGACUUGCCUUUGUUUUGAGCGGCACAACAGUGUUGUUCACUGCCUGAUCAAGUUGAGAGGAUAAUUUCGUUCCUGAACUUGAUCUACUGCGUUUGGGGUUGUGAUAACGGUCUAAAAACCGUUAUUUUCAUGCUUGAAUUUGAUAGUAAGAAACACCCUUUAUGGCUUAGAAUGGGCUUUAAAUCAAGUAAAACACUUACUUGAGUCUCUUGAGAGUCAAAAGUUGGUUUUAGAGAUAUUAUGCUUGUUUUGCAUUGUUUUGUAGGGUUUUUAGAUGAAUUAAAUAUGGAAGUAAAGUAAAGUGGAUUUAGACCCUUGAAAGAAGGAGAAAUAUGAUGAAGAGAAGGGUCAAGUUAGCCGCUGAGCGUCAGAAUGGUCCGCUGAGCGCUCAGAGCAAUUAGAGGGAAACCGCUCAACAGCAAAACUGACCGCUGAGCGAUCAAAGCGGCAAGAGGCAAACCGCUAUGCGGUUGUCUGUUUUUUUAACUAGAUUUUGUGAAUCUAUCUGUAAUCUAUCUAUUAUCUUUUUGGGCUUAUAUAUAGCUGAUGGGUUGUCGCAACCCACACAAAUUUGAUUGCAAUUUAGAAAUGCAGUAUAGCUAGGAAAUGACUCCUAGGUUGUCUCUCAAUGACCAAUUUUGCGGUUCAAGAAUCAAGUCAAGCACGAAGGUUGGGGGGGUUGUUGAAAAGUUUGUAAAUGCGGAUAAACAAAAUCAAGACACAAACACAACUAAUAAUUAAACACAUAUUUAAAAACAGUUUCAAAGACAGAAUAAAAACAGUUCGUCAUUAACUUAAUUACAAUGUUUCCAAUCACAGAUCAACAAAAUAAAGUUGCAACUCAAACCUCUAAUCCAACAAAGUUAACCAACUAAGCGAAGGUUAACCCUGUUUUCAUAAAAGCGAACUAAGCGAACGCAAUGUUAAUAUCAAAUCUAAAUUACACCAUUCAGUUACAUCAACUAAGCGAANAUGUAACACCAACUGGG
rnacentral:lncRNA from 1 species